GCAAUGGCAGAUUGGGACCUACCACUGGAGGUAUGGGUAGCCCUGAAAUCGGAGGAAGGGGUAGCUUAGGGACGGUCACUGGAGGAACGGGUAGCUUAGGUACAGUUACCGGGGGAACGGGUAGCUUAGGGACUGUCACUGGAGGAACGGGUAGCUUGGGGACGGUCACUGGAGGAACGGGUAGCUUGGGGACGGUCACAGGAGGAACGGGUAGCUUAGGUACAGUCACUGGUGGAACGGGUAGCUUAGGGAUGGUCACAGGAGGAACGGGUAGCUUAGGGACGGUCACCGGAGGGACUGGUAGCUUAGGGACGGUCACCGGAGGAACUGGUAGCUUAGGGACGGUCACCGGAGGAACUGGUAGCUUAGGGGCUUUAGGGGAGUGCUUUCCGCCCUUCCGUGGGUUGCAAGAGCCGCAUGCGAGAGAAUGUUGGGGGAGAUAGAUAAUGCAAAUGAGGAAGAGGCAAAGAGAGAGAGAUGAGAGUUUGGAGGAGUCCAUGUUGAGUAGAGUGGAUGGUGUAACUAUACGAAAGAGUAUAUGAAUAUAUAGAGGGAAAAUGAGAAGAAGAAUUCACGUGAAGAUGGGGGCUACUUCUGCAAUAAGAAGAGACGCCCCAAAAUAAGCAUGGUUGGCAAUUAUCAUAAGAAUACAAGAUUUCCUUGAUGACCCAUCGCUAUAUAUCAUCACAUGUCGACCACACUUUUUUCACUUUUUUUUUUCUAAGUGCCUCUUGUUCUUGGGUUAACUACAACUUUUAACAACGUGUAACUUCAGUUUCAACAGUACAGUACAUUUAACUUGUAGGAAUUGUAAUGAAUCAACUUAGCGAGACUAGGUCAUUAUGAGAUAUCAUCAAUACUAAAUAACAUUUUGAUGAUGUAAACACUCUAGGAAAAGCAGAUAAUAUAGUAUCAUAUGGUUUUCGCUUUAGUGUGUGGCUUCAUAAGCAUCUCCAUGCAUGAGUCGACUGCUAAGGAACAUAUAGAUCUGCACCAUAGUGAAGACGGCUUAGUCUAUUCAAAACACUAAUGUUGUGCCUUUCGAGGACCUCCCGAGACUCGAAUUCGAAUGCACUCUCCAAAGGUAUUAUGUUAGGGAAAAAACCUUAUUAAACCAAAUAUGUUACUGUUUAACCCAUACACGAAAAUUAGAUAUAUAAAUGUUGAACAAAUAGCAUAUAGUUAUAUCCAAUAUAUACGUACAUGAGAGGUAAAGAAGACAGCAAGACUGACAUGUGAAAUUCGGGAUACACUUUUGUUGUUUGGUGAUUUUGUUACGUAGUGUCAUUAAAGAAACGAUCAUGUGUGCGUGGACCAUCUUCUUCUUUUUACCGCUCAUUUCCCUUUUUACCAUAUCUACUACAAAAGAGUCCGAACUGACCAUUUAAUGAACGAGUACCAUUCAAUUCAUAAACUCCCCGUAUCAAUCUAACUGACACUGUAAAAGUUAUAAUGUUAAUAUAUAAAAAUAAUAUGGUUAUUUAGCAUGAAUAAUAACUUUUUAUAAUUGAGAGUAUGUCUAGCUAACAUUGGUGAUUGGUGCUUACAUAAAUCAUAUUUUUCAAACCACUUAACAAGAACUUUACAUAUUCAAUGAUAAACGAAUCACAUUUAUACAAUAUACCAUUCAAAAAUAAUAUUGUAAGAUGAUUUGAAAUUAAACGAUUGUAAUAUAUAAUGUGUUAAAAGUAAUGUAUUAUAGAUAUCUUGUAAUUAUUUAAAGGGUUUUGUGCAAAAAAAAAAACCACUAACUCAUACAUUUUUCCAAUUUACUAUCCAGCUCUAAUAAAUGCACAUUAAUCCUAUGAAUCUAAAAUAAUACGCAUUGUAACCCUUUUUGACCAUUUUUUGCUACCAUCAAUUUUGUAAAAUAUUGAUAUAUAAUAUGUUAAAUCAAAGCUCUCGCGACCAAGAGUUCAACUCUACCUUUAAAAAUUUUAAAAUGUAAUGUAUGUAACCGUAAAAACGCUUGUAAUAUGCAUAUGAAAUUUAUAUUACAUAUUAUGUUAAACUUCAUAAGAUUAAUCUGCAUUUGUUGGUAGUGCAUUUGUUAGAGGUGGAAGGUAAUGUUGCAAAAAUAGAUGAGUUAAAAGAUUUCUUUUUGCACAAAACCCUUUAUUUAAACUACUAACAAUAUAAUAUAUAAAUAAUUUAAAACAUAUAUCUCUAUAAUUCAUGAAGUAAUAAUGGUGUACCCUAUCCUUACCAACGAAUAAUAAAGAAAUGAUAUUAACUCUGAUUCAAAAGCUAUAUAUAAGAUAUUCUUUUUUUUUCCUCGGGAGGGAUACGAAUCCGGUAACAUGAAUCAGUGUCCAAUAAGAGCCAGUGGUCGUAAAUUCCAAAUGACAGAUGGAUGACUCAUUUUAAUUCGUAACUUUUGUCAGCUGCGAUAUAUGCUAAUGAAACCUGAGGUGCUAGAUUUUGAUUUUAAUGGCUUUAGAUUCUUACUCAACACUCAAUGGCCCACUCGUUAAUCUCUUACCUUCUAAAGUGAGUUAUGAUCCACUGCUUCUUUCUUCUUGUAGAUAGAUGGACCUGUUUUUUUUAGGUUGUGAUUUGUGGACAUUAAUCAACAACCCAUGUUUAUACGUGAUAAUGUCUGGAGCUAUAUGUAAAGGCGAUAUGGAGGACAACAUUCCUCUAUUCUAACUUUAAAAGCCAUGUAGUUAGGGCUGGACACCAAUAUUCUUUUUUUUUUUGCUAAAUUGUAAAUAUCAUUUUGAUGAAAAAUCAGGUUUUACAACAGUUGUAUAACCUAAAACAUUUGAACUCUUUGGCAAAAAAGAAUAAAAAAACGAAGAGCCAAUCGAGAGCUGCAUAGAACUCGGUAGUUUCAUAGCAGCCACAACGCUAUUAACUUGCGAAAAAGGAGUCUGUUUCUUCUUGAGGUGAUAACGUUUUUGAUUUUGCGGUUGAUGCACUUGAAUAUAGAAUGCGGAGAGAGGGAAGUAGCGUUGUGCAGGACAUUGUUAGGCUGCUUCAAGAUGUGGAAGACCUUAGACUGAACGACAAUAAUUUUAAGAACUGAUGAAGCCAAUAUUCAUCAUUUUCAAACAAAAAAUAUCUUUUGUUUGACACCAAUAUCCUUGACCAGCUUCAAACAAAGGAUAUACAUCAUUUUUAAGUCGGGUAAGGCAAAUGAGUAUAAGGAUUCUCAUUACACAUCUGGUUGCCAAAAACUUUUAGUCAAAUACUAGUUACAAUCUCAGUUUUUUACCCCAAACUUUUUGCCACUUAAAAAACUAGGGGUGGGCAUUCGGGUAAGCGGGUCGGGUUCGGGUUCGGGUAAAACCCGAUCAGGUAUAAAGAAGUUUAGGAUCUAAUAGGGUAAAUCUAAAAUAUCGGUUCGGUUUCGAUUCGGGUCCAACCGGGUUCGGAUAUAGAUUUGUGGCCUUUUUUUAUCCAGAUUUUUCGGGUAAAAUUUUGGAUUUCGGAUAAAAUUUAGAUUUUUGAAUAAAAUAUUUGGGUAUUUUCGGGUUCGAGUUUGUUUUUUCGGGUAGAGAAAUUUAGGAUCCAGUAAAGUACAUCUUCGGAUUUGGAUUAAGUUUCAGCUCUAAUUUUUCGAGUUAGUUUCGGUUCGGAUAAUCGGUUCUGGUUUUUUGGCCCGGCUCUAUAGAAAACCAUCAAUAAAUAUUUUAAUCCUAUUUCUGCCUCAUUACUCGAGAAAAUAUUCGACCCGUUUUAUUACUUGAUAAAUUUACAACUAUAUAUUUAUGUAAUCUAUUUCAUAUUAGUAAAAUAUAUUAAAUUUGUUAUUAAAACCAAAUAUCUUUUGAGAUUAGGGCAAUCAAAAGUUAAGGUCAAGCAAAUGUCUCCUUUCUAAAUGUUUUUGUGGGUAACGGUAAAGGACAAAUAUACAGCCCAUGCCCAGACCUACAAGUAGCGACUCCAUUACUACACAGUAAGAUUUUUAUUAAUAAAAAUGUGCAUGGUUUCAUUUAAAAGUCAUUGCUAACACUUCACUUUACAGUAAUAUUCAAUUUCAUACCUUUAAACGUUAAUCAGAAUCGCCAAUUGGAAGCCAGUCACUGGAAUCACCUUCCGAAUCCUUGCUAUGUCCAACUUGGCUCUUGCUGAGCUGAACCCAGCUUGACCCGCUUGCGUUUGAUGCUGGUCUUUUCAGUGUACUCCUGUUGGGACUUGGCUUCUCCGAGAGAUCAUCGACAUCUAAAUCACUAAAGGAGAUUACCUCUUCAUCUCUGAAACUCCUCCGUUGUUCUUCAGAUGACUCAUCACUUAUCUCCCUUUGCUCAAUUUUUAGAGUCUCUAUCUUGUCAAUGACUCCCUCAACGGUUUCUGUUUCCCUACUGCUACCUUCUUCAGGAGUUUCGUGACCAGUAGUGCUCUUGCUUGACCCUGUCUCUUUCUUUUGCAGCUUUAGUAAAAGUUGAUCCCUUGUUUCAAAUACCUGUGCCGCACAAUAUAGUUAUUAAAGUUUCAGAAAUAGGUACAAUAGUAACUUGGGAAAAAAUGCAGAGCAUAAAAGAUAUAAAACAAUCCAAUUUUAAAAGCAUCAGGCAAAAAUACAUUUUUUCCUGAGGCUAUACUUGUUCUUAUUGCAAUCGGUUGAAGGGGUCAUUAUAGCAUAAACGUUUACGAUUUUAAUAAUAUUGGAUCAAUACUGACAUUUCAGAAGAAUGUAUUUCCAGUAUACAGUCUUACCUUGCAUGUUGCUAAGAGUUCAAAAUCAUGCCCAUUCAGUCUCGGCAUCAGCAAAAUAAAAUAAAUCAGCCAGAAGUGUUCAUCAUCCAUGUAACUACUAACUUGAUUCUUCACAGCUACAAGGCCAGGAACCAAAUCUUCAAUGGCUGAUGCAUGUGCCCUUUGAGCCUCAGACAGUUCAAAUUCUGCAAUGUGGACAUGAAAAGUUGGAGAAAAACUUCAGCAUAAUUCAGUAGGUAAAAUUGAUGUAAACCACCAAUGCUUUUUAUCAGGAAGUGUUUCGACAACAUUUUCAAGCAAACCAAGCCUAUAUACAAAAGGUUGUACAGGAUGACGAUAUGCUUCGCAAUAAAAUAAAUAAAAAGAUUUAAGUGGCAUAUGGAUUGAACUAUAUAUAUAUAUAUAUAUAUAUAUAUAUAUCCCAAGAAGAGACUGCAGACCCCGUCAAGUUUAUUCGUAAUUCCUGGAGAUCUAUCUAAAGAACAGGGACUUCAAAAAAAAAAAUUAACUGCAGAAACAAUCAAUCUUGUCCAAACAGGUCUAGAAUAAAACACAUCAAGAGUUAAAGACUGAAGCAUAAUCAUCUUUGGCGACUGAAAACAAGUCAACUAUAUUUCCAAGAACAAUCAUGUUUAUUCCUGCAUGGCUGCAAGUUCGUCGACAAUAUCUUCAAGGUAUGAAAAAUGUGAUCUACAGAGAGUAAUGGGACCCCGAGAUCCUAAAGACCUGAGCUUGAAGAAAUAUAUCCCAAGAGGAGAUGGCAGGACCGGUCUAACCUAAUCUAAAAUACUAGGAAAUCUCUCUAAAGAACACCAGAGGCUACAAGCAAUCAACUGUACAAACAAAAAAAAUAUUUUCCUAAUAAAUCACAGUAAGAAAAUCAUAACUAAACAUAGAUAGUUAGAAACCACCAAUGCGGUGCUUCGACUAUACUUUCAAACUAACAAAGCCUAUAUACUGGGAACAAAAAUAUGCUUGAAGAAAUAUGUCCAAAUAAGCUUAAUCUGUAACCCUAGUGAUCCCACUAGAAAGCCAAUCAACUGUAGAAGCAAUCAAUCUUUUCCAAAUAAAACCUAUUUUAGUAACAAUUAUGUUUGCCUACUGGGAAAAAAAAAAGUCAAUGCAGAGCUUAAGACUAUUGAGAAUCAAGCUUUAUGAUUCCUCUAUUGACUAUACAGGAGCAUUACCAGUAUCGAGUGACAAUGGAAAAUCUGUCCAACAACCAGGUUUCGUCGAGAUUUUAACAGCGAAAUCGACUACUUCUUCAGAGAUUCCAGGAACUUGAUCGUUCAACGGAGAUCUUCUACUACUUUCUCUAUCUCUUAGAUUACUAGGAAAUUGGAGUAAAUUAGAUGCGAAAUUGGAGAAAUUUCCACGAAUCUCGGCUAGAUCGUUGCGGAUCCCGAGAAGACCUAGCUGAGUUGGUGAAUUAUCAGAGGAGAGUCGGCGUUCGUUUACAGGUGGAGAAGGAGGCGGUGCCAGGAAAGCUGCGACGCCACGGAGUAAGGAAGAUAAAUCUUCUUUGACACCGCCAUGAGUUGUGGAAGGAUCGGGAUCGGGAUCGUGAUCGUCAUCGCCGCGAGAUUUGAAGAGCCAAGACAUGGUUUUUGAGUGAGAGAGGUUGGAUUUGGGGUUUUCAGUUUUUUUUGCACGGGGUUACGAAUAGCAAGAGAGAAGAAACGGUACGUUUUAAUACCUUUCCAAAACGCACCGUUUGUUGUUUGUUCGUUUUGAUACCUUCCCAAACGUGAAAUAAACGAACAAUAAUUAUACAAAAUAAACGGAAACAAAACCUACUUUUUAAAACGGGAAAAUAUCGUUUUAUACGUGAUGUUUUUAAGAAUGGUCAUUUUAUAUGUAAACUUUUAGAUCGAUCAAAUAAAAUAUGAUAAAAAUGUUGAUCCGCUAUUUAAACAAAACAUAAAGUUUGCCUGGCCAAAAUUUCCGAAAUGUUAACUUGUAUUAACGGAUCUGAUAACCCUCGUUAGCAGACGUUAGUCGUCUUCCGUUAAUACCAAACGAUUUUUUGUGAUGAGUACAAACCUUAAAAUUCCCAAAUCGAUUUUUCAUUCCCUAAUUCUUCAUAAUCCCCAAAAUUUGAACUAUUCUCGAUAUAUUUUUUUUGAGCUCAAAAUCUCCAUUUUGUGUAGAUAUGAGUUUAAAAAAUUUGAGUGUUCAAGAAGGAGGAAGUGGGAACCUUGGGUUUCCUUCAAAGUGUCAUUGGGGGAGAGAUUUCAUCAUCUAUAUAUCAAGCUCGACGAAGAACCCAAGAAGAUCCUUCUUCUGUUGUCCAACAUAUCAAGAUGUAAGUAGAUUUGAAUUUGUUUUUUUUGGUGUUUGAUCGGUAAAAAGUUGUCGUUGUAAAUGCAGGACCAUUUGUUUAAGUGAGUCGAAGAUUGUGUGUAUGAAGAGGUUGUAGAUGCAAUACUGAUAAUCUCUAUGAUUGAUAGCUAGAUAAACAAUGUCAAAUUUCAGGUUGUAGUCGAGAUUGCAGAAUUAAAGGUUUUGAUCCAAGAAUUGAAGGAAGAUGAAAUGUGGAGCAAAAUGGAAUUGAAGAUAUGGAAAUCGAUGACCAAAUUGUGCUUGGUGUGCCUUUGUAUAACAGUCAUUGCAAUUAUGAUCAUAAUGUUCUAUAAGACCAAAAACCAUAAGCUUGUUCUUGGUUACUAGUGUUUUGUGUUUGUAAUAAAAUGUUUUUAUGGUACUGAAAUGUUUGUUUGGCAAUGAUAAUCAGUCCUAGUGUUUUGUCUUAGUGUUGUGAUUGUAAUGAAAUGCUACUAGAUGCUUGUUUAACAAUGAGAAUCACCAAAAUGAAACUCAUUCAUACAUUAUAAAACUUGUGUCACAAAGACAAGUCGAAACCACAAAAUGAAAUCGAUACUAAGCUUAUGUCAUAAAGACAAAUCCAUUAUGUCAACCACCAAAAAUAAACUUAUGAGAAAGCUUAAGUUCAAACAACAACAAAAAGAAACUUGUGACUAAUCUUGUCUUGAACACUCAAACCAUGAUGCAAAUCCACCAAGUCCUUGUGGUUGAGCAUGUGGCUCAGUUUGUGCUUGUGCUUGUGGUUCUGUUUGGGAUUGUACUUGUGAUGCUCCACCUGUCUCCCUUGGUCUUUCUGAUGUUCCGCCUGUUGCCCUUGGUCCUUGUGAUCGAAUAUGAGAUUGUGAUCCUUGAUGAGGUUGUGAUCCGUGUAUUUGCUCUUGCGAUUCGAGCACUUGAGAUCGUGAUCCUUAAUGAGAUUGUGAACUUUGAUGAGGUUGUGAUCUUAGCACUUGUGAUUCCUCCUAAGUUAAAUAUGACAGUCUGAACAGUUGCAUGAUUAAGUGAGUUGUAAAACAUAUAAAAAAAAACAAGAAUACAAACCUGAUUUAUUCGUGGAUGACCUCUUGGUCUCUUUGGUGGAAUCAGAAUAGUGGCAUUUUUGCAGCUUUGCUUGUUUGCCCUUGUUGAAGGCAGUUAGAGCAUGUCAUGAUUCUCUUUUGCAGUGGCAUCUUGUUCUUAUUUGAAGAAGAAGAAGUCUCAUUUCUUCCUUUUCUCCUAACAUAAUUACUCGGUCUUCCAACAUUUCCUUUUGUCCAUGGUGGUGGCAAAACAGGGAGCCUAUUGGUUUUAGGCCACAAUGGCAUACCUUGGACAAGGCUAAUACCAUCUUUAUAAGUUUUUCGCCAGAUUACCUUUGUGUAAAACUUGCUCACAUAGUCUGCAACUGUUUCUCUUCUUCCUAUUAUCACAGGUGUCGCAUAAAUACAUGGGAUCCCCACCAUCUACCACUUCCUGCGACCACAAGUUCUCUUCUCCGUAUCAACAUAGUAGCUAACACCAUUCACAUCAAUUUGAUACAAAUUGUUUCUGGACAUAUAUCUCUCGCAAUUUCUAACCCCAACUAUCAUUUUCUCAAUCUCAAGAUGGGCUCUCUUUGUGAACCUUGUCUUCAAUUUGUCAGCAAUGAUAUACGUCUUCGUAGUUAUGACCAUGCAUUACCUCUGGAUGUACUCUAGCUAAUCCAACAAAGGCUUUCUCCUAGCCUGUUUAAUAGUCUUAUUAAAAGACUCACACUGAUUAUUGAGGCUGUCAUUGCAACGUGUCCAAUUCUAAAGAAGGCUCUCGACCAUGUCAUUGGACUAGUAAGUUGCGAGUGGCAUGCGCAUGAGGAUUGUAUCUCUUUAGCUCUUCCAUAUUAUUCAUGAACACUUCUUCAGUGUAGCUUCAAAUUGUUUUUCAAAGAGACAUUGUAGUUCUAUCUCAUGGUUGUCUCUCUUCCAAUUGUCCAUUAUAUGCCUUGAAUAUUGUCGAUGCUCAACUUCUGGAAGUAUGGUAUUGAUAGCUUUGACUAGACCCUGUAAAAUAACACAAAAACAUAAGCGUAAACCCUUCAUAAAAGACAUUAAACUGAAGCAAAAGAUGAUAAAAUUAACUGAUUAUUUAUCUGAAAUGAUAACUAGAUGUUGCAUUUCACAGUCCCAAACUAGUAGAGAGCUGUCUCAAAAACCAGUCCCAAUUAUCAUUGUUUUCUAUCUCAACAACUGCCCAAGCUAUAGGAACAAUCCUCUUAUCUCCAUCUCUUCCAACUACAGCUAAAAGGUGACCUUUUACAUCCCAUUUUAGAAAACCCAUCUAUUCCUAUCACAGGUCUACAAGUUCGCUUCCAAGAAUCCUUUUGAGAUUUAAAGCAGAUAUAGCACCAGAGAAAAGAAUCCUUUUGUGAUAUAAAGCAGCUAUAGCAUCAGAGAAACCUUUGCUUGCUUCCAAUAAAAAGCCCUACUGUUGUCUCUAUCUCAAACUCUGUCUCUGGGUUCUACUUUAAAACCUCCGCUUGAUAAUCUCAUAUUCUUGAAAAGUGAUCAUUAUGAGUAGCAUGUCAUGCUUUCAACACUUUGGUCUUGGCCUUUGCACAUUGGUCUGGAGUCACAUCCAAAUUGAAUUCUCUCUGAAUCUCAACAACCAUCUCGUUCUUUGAAAUAUUUGGAUUCACUCUCAGCCUUUCAUCAAACAAAAGUGCAAUGGAAGACCGCUUCAACAUCUUUGAAUAUCCUGACCUAACACAAGUAUGCAUAUAAAAUCUUACUUGCAUCUUAUGUUUUGUCUUCUCAUACGAACAAUAUACUUUCCAACCACAUUUAACACCAUCAACACCAAUUUAUGACCACUUCGCAGCAACAACCAUAGAUUCAGACCCAUAAAGAGAAAUGGUAUACCAUGUCUUUAAAGAGUACAUCAAAAGAACACGCUUGAAGUCGUGUUUAUAUCCUCUUCACCGCGUAAACCACCAUUAUAAUCGUUAUCUCCACCACCAACCACAUCAUCAACGACAUUGCAGUCUUCAUCACCAUACACGGCGCAGUCUUCUUCAUUUUUCAGGGUCAGGCUCAAAUGUAGGUUCUUCAUCCUCCUCUUUUUAAUGUCUGACUCUUCUUCGUUUUUGUUUUCAAAGCCGCUUUGAAACUCGAGCUUUAACUACGAUAGAAGACUCUACUACGCCUACAGCCGGCAGAGCUAGAACUCCGUUAUCAAACUCUAAAACUGCUUCCGCUGGUGGAGCUCGAACAACAUCUUUGGUGUCAUCUUCGCCUCGUGGUGGAGCUUCAUCAUUGUCUAAUUUGCCUUCCAUUGAUACAAUCUAGGACUCCAAGGAUACAAAUUCAAGAUGAAAUCAAAUCAAAAUCGCGAUUUCGCCAAAGUAAGAAUUAGGGAUUUGGUUUUUGGAAAUUAGGGAUUUUGAAAUCAAAAUGGGAAUUUCUGUUUCAGUUUAUGAAACGACAUUGUUUUAGGCAUUAACAGAAAAAAUUAACGUCUGCUUACAGGGGUUAUCGGAUCUGUUAAUGCAAGUUAACGUCUCGGGGAUUUUGGUCAGGUCAACUUUAUGUUUUGUGUUAAAUGGCGGGUCAACGUCUUUAUCAUGUUUUAUUUGGCCGACCUAAAAGUUCACGUAUAAAAUGGCCACUUUUGAAAGUUCACGUAUAAAACGACAUUUUUCCCUUUUCAAAAACCUAAUUUAUUUCGCAUAAUUAUUGUUCGUUUUGAAAAGUAGGUUUUGAUUUAAUAUUAAAUUUAUUCGGGGAAAAAGAAUUAUACAUUUACAAGUAGGAAAAAUGGGUAAAAAAAACCUCACCUUUCCCAAAUACAUUUAAAAAAACCUCAACUUUUUGUAGGUUUUUAAACCCUCACCUUUUCAAAAAUGGUAAAAUAACAAUUAGCAUUAUUAAACCAAAUAAAUACAAAUUAAAUACUAAAUAAACUAUUAUAUUAAGACAUAAAAAACAACAUAAUUUAUAAUCUAUCUUUUCCAAAUUUGAGUUUAGGAUUUUUUUUCUUCUAGAAUUUAGUUGUUUUUUGUGAUAUAAAAAAUAAGUUUCAUUGCCAUUAGAAAUUGGUAUGUAAACUAAAACAAUUUAUAACAUAGCACAUUUUAUUUUAUUUGUGUUCAACUAUGUUCUAACCUUUGAAGUUUUGGAUUUAAAAUGGAUAAAAUUUAUUAACACAAAUUUGAUCUAAACUUGAGUGACCUAAUAUUUGUUCUAAACUUGUGUGAUCAAAACUUUAUUCUAAACUUAAGUGUCCAAACCAAAUAAAAUUUUAUUAAAUAUAUUUUAUAUUUAGUUAUUACAAAAUUAGUUUAGUUUUACGUUGAUGAAUUUCUUGAACUCAACCAAAUUAAUCUUGUUUCAGUUCACUGCAUAUGUAGAAGAAUAUAUAUCUAUAUAUAUAUACAUAUAUCAUACCUAAAAUAAAAUAAUUAUUUUUAUCCAAAAUUUAAUUAAACUUACACUCGAAACAAAAUAAAUAAACUUUGAAUAGACUUUGGAUAUGUUAUCUUCAGUAUGAAACCAAUUGUCUGAACCAAAUUUAAAUUGUUUUCACAUAAAACAUUUUACUAGAAGAAAAUAUUUAAGAGCUAUGUCUUUGGUUAGAUUAGAAUCGACAUAUUUCGUUUUCAAGAUUGUUUAGUGGUAGUUUGUUGUUUUGCGUCAAGUUUUUUUUAAUGUUUUCUUUUCCUAUUUUUGUCGGGUUCAUCUCUUGCUUUUGGACCGGUCAAUCUAUAACUUUUCACCUUUAUAAUAAUAGGUAAAGCGGUUGUGUGACUCUUUCAUUUUCCUCUACUCAAGUUUAAGACUAAAUCUGGUCAAAUUUUUAUUAGACUAGUUAUGAUGGUUUGUUAUAAACCAUUUCACAACUGUUGAAAAAAUUAUUUCCACUACAAUGGUUUAUUGUAAUCGAAAAGUAAGUGAGAUGGCAAAUUUAUCAACACUCAUGAGAGUAGAAGAAAGAAGAUAAGUGUGACAAGUGUUAUAUUUUGAUUGGUUGCUUUUUUUUUUUGGACAAAAGCUUGUUUUUAUUCAAUUAAGAGAGAAACAAGUACAAAGGAACAAGGAUUCUAAGAUCCCAAAGUUUAAAGGACAACAAAGGUAGGCAUUCCCAACACCAUAAGAAGAAAAGCUAACACACAAAUAAGGUACAUCAACAAUGGUUCCAUGAGAGCUAUAAUCCAAACACUUGAAGGGAAUUUGUUACUUUUAAGAUCAAGGAUUGUUGACAAAUCUUCCACGAACAAAGUAGUGGAUGAGAGUAUGGUUACUGUCAAAAGACUUAGUAACGUUAACAAGGGCGCCAAAGACAUGAAUCUCGUCGGGACGAGAAGUACUACACCAAGUAGUGCUUUUGCAAAGGUUCGAACAAGGUUUUGGUAAAGGAAGGAGGAUCGUCGAGGCUUAGAAAGAUUGAUGCGAGACCGUAACAGAACAGGUGGGUCCUCUCUCCCAAGAAGACCAAGGAGAUUAAGGAAUUCCACACAAAGCUUGUAGUCGGUUUGCCACAUGAAGAAAAGGCCAGACAUGAGGAAAUUGAGUAGAUAUCACUUUGAGGCACUAGUCAAUAGGGAGGGAUCUCUCACAAGAGAAUUGAGAAGUUCAUGUUGAAGCUUGAUCCAAACCCGGGGAGUAAUGGUGAAUGGGAGGUUCUUGAAGUUGGUCGAUAUAGUUGUCAGUAUGAAAUACUUUGAUAGAGAGUUUUGGUGACUAGCGUCACAUCUCCGACAGAUUGGACUAAGAAACACUAGACCAUGAAUCUUCAAAACGGAAUCAUAAAACAUUGCCCUAGCUAAACCUAGCACCAAGGUUCUCAGAUAAUAUUUGUAGGAGCAUAUCAACGAGGGUGAUUCGUCAUUCAAGUGGUGUCCCUAACCCCUCAAAAUAAAGAAACGAUGUCUACAUUGGGAUAGACUCGGCAAAUUGCAGAUGGAGGAAUACCUGGAUUUUUGUGAUAAUAGGUUUGGGUCGCAAUUUAUGGGCUUGGGCCGCGAGGGAAAUGGGCCAACAUUGGAGACAGGGCCCAUCAAAGAAAACCCUCGAUUCCAGAUUGUUGGGCAAGGAGCGUUGGGAGUGCGGCGGCUACGGUAGAGAGGUACGAAUUGCACAAUUGAAGCAGACGUCUCUGAUGUAAAUAGAGUUAGGGUGAACAAGCUGCAUGACGGGUCCGGCGCUGAGGCUAUAACAACGGCUAAUGGUUUGGCAAAAGAACGUCGGAGAAGCCUUAGGGAGCCGAAAGGUCCCGCAGAUCUAGUAACGAUGAGGAGGCGGAGACAAGGCUCAGGUUGGAAGGAUUGGUCGCCUAUGAAAUUGAAAGCUUCACAAACUGUUUUCUUUGAUUCGCAAGGUUUGGACAGAGAGUGUAGCUUGCUCGGAGGCCACAUUUUGCCUAUGUCGGAGAAUACUGCUUCAAAGAAGAUUCAACAGCAAAGAAGAACUCGAUAGAUUUGGAUUAAAAGGUUUGCAACAGAAGAAAACUAAAUUACAACGAAGAAGUAGAUGAAAGAUUGAGGAAAUAGCUCGAGAGAUGAGAGGGAGGUUCCGAUGCCGGCGAGCAUUUGCUCCACCGACGUCGGAAAGAUGAAGGGAGAUAGUUUCCUCGAUAUUAGUGUCUAUUAGCUCCACCGACGUUGAAAAGAUGAAGGGAGAUAGUUUCCUCGAUAUUAGUGUCUGGGAGAGAAACUCUUUAAAAUCUUAGUCUCGCAAAAAAUUUGAUUGGUUGCUUUGAUUUCUAUAUUUUUUUUCUUAAUUACAUAACUUUAAUUAUUUCAUAAUAUUUAUAAAUAAACAUAUCAAAAUUUACAAUUUUUCAUUCUCUAUAAAUAAACACUAUCUUCAUUUGAUUUGGACAAAACAAAAAUAAUCUUUCUUUAGAAAAAAAAAAGUUUAGUCUCCAAUAAACUUUUGUUUUAGCUUUAAAUAUACUUUUAUCUAAAUGGAUCCAAACAAUAACCUUUCAACACCCAAAACUUUUCUAAUUACUUUUAAACUAUCCAAAUCCCAACAAUUAUUAGUUGCAGGUGUGUCAGAAGGACAUUGAACGAGCAUUUGGAGUGUUGCAGGCUCUAUUUAAAAUUAUUCGCGAACCAGCUCGACUGUGGGACAUAGCCGAUUUGACUAUCAUCAUGAGGUCGUGUAUCAUAUUGCAUAAUAUGAUUGUUGAUGAUGAACGACAGACGUAUACUCAACAUUGGACUGAUUAUGAUCAAUCUAAGGCAAGUGGGCCGAGUACAUAACAACCAUUCUCGACCAAAGUGCUACUUGUAUUUGCAAAUCAUCUGCGUGGUAGAUCCAAGUUGCGUGAUUCAAAUGUACACCGCAAAUUGCAAGCAAAUCUAGUCAAACAUAUAUGGGCACAAUUUGGAAUUUUCCAUGGUGAAUGAGAUUUUUAAGUUUGUGAGUUGAGAUUAAUAUACUAAUUAAGUUACAAAUGUUUCCUUACUUGUUGUGUGCGUAUUGUAUUGCAUUUUAAAUCUAUGUUCAUUGUAUGUGUUUUAGUAAUGAUUAUUUUUAUUUCUAGUUUUUAUUAUUUAUAAAGUUUUUUUAAAAAAUAUAUACAAAUAUUAAAACAAAAACUAUUUUAUAAAAUUUAUUUAAUAUUUAAUUAUUUAAAUUUAAUUUAAUAUUAACGGUGAUUAAUAAUAUUUAAUCACAAAAAACAUAAACAUAAAUAAAAUGAAAAAUAUAAAAUAAAAAUUGUGGGAUAAGGUGUUGUAAUUUUAUCAAACAAAACUAUUGUAGAGGGAAAAAAUUAUGUAGGUGUGGAAUAACGAUGUGGAAGAGAGAGAAAACGAUGUGAAGUGUUAAAAGGGAAAAAAAGGGUGUUGUAAAUGGGUAACCAUUGUAGAUAGUCUUAGGAAGUGAAUGGUGACUUUAAGAUUUGCAGAUUUCGAAAGAAAAAGAAAAAAAUGCACUAAUGUCACCAAUCAGACAUAUGUGUGUAAUUUGUUUUUUUUUACAGAUAAUUUGGCACACACAUUUCAAAGCAUGUUAAUACACUAGGGAUAAAAGAAACACACUCUACUAUCGUCCAAGGGAUAUUUGGCAGCGCUUAACUAAAAACUUGCAUUACACAGUAAGUAAUAAAUCAAUUAUUUAAUUAAUAAUAAAAUGUACCUAUAAAUCAGAUCAUGUACUCUAAAACUAUUCACACAUUACAACCAAAAACAACAUCCUCUCAUAUUUCGCUCCAAUCCAAAAGAAAAAAAAAACAAUCUCCCACCCUUUCGUCAUAUAUUACAACAUUUAAAUGUAAAUUACUUUUACUAUACUAGUAUAAUAAUUACUUAUAACAAAAUAUUUCUAUGUAAUUAAGGUCUCUUUAUAAAUAAAUAGGACUGAAAUUAAGUAUAUAAAAUUGUUCAAAAUUUAGUAAAUCAUAAAAUGUUAUAUUUAUGUACAUAUUUAUAUGACUAUGUUUUAUUUUUAUAUUCAUAACAUCAGUAUUAAAUUUUAAUCAAAUCAUAGAAAUUUUUAAAUAUGUAUAAUAAAUGGUUGUGAUAGUAUUUACUAAUCAAGAUGUAUAUAUAUUUAUUAAAAAGAGAAAGGAAAAUUUUGAAGAUAUACAAAAUUACUAUUUUUUUAAAUUAUAGUUUAGUAUAUUUAUAUUAGAUGGUAAUAUGAUAUUAUGAAUUUUUUCAAAACUUAAUUAAAUCAAUUAAUUUAAUCAUAUCAAAAGUUACUUAAAUCAAUUCAUUUCCAUCAUUAUUAAAUUUUAAACAAAUCAUAGAAAAUUAAAAUAUGAAAAGAAAUGGUUGUGAUAGUACAAUAAAGUGAUUCCGAGUUCCCUUUGCCUCCGUCGGAGAAGUAUUAUCUAGUUGAUUAUGACUACCCAAACAAAUAAGGAUUUCUAGUUCCUUAUAGAUCGUCAGGAAAUCGAGUUGUGAGAUAUCAUAUGUCUCAAUUUUAUUUUGGUCCUCCUCCUAGAAACAAACAUGAACUAUUUAAUAUGUCAUGCAUCUUUACGUUCUGUUAUCGAGAGAACUUUUAGAGUUUCGGAAAAGAAAUGGAGGAAUCUUUUUCAUUUUCCUAGAUAUAAUAUUCAUAUUCAAAAAAGAGUGGUAAUGGUUAUAGUGUGAUUACAUAAUUUUAUCAGAAUUUCAAACUUCUCAGAUGUAGAUUUUCUUGAUGUAAUGACAGAGACAAAUAUAAACUACAGAGAUUAUGAUCAUCAUUUAGAUGACAUAGAAGCAACAGAGAUAACAAAUGGAGAACAUAUGAUGCCAAUAAAAGACAAUAUUGCAAAUAUGUUAUGGCAAAAUCAAAAUAAUAUAAAAUAUUUUUUAAUGUUUUUUAUGAUGAAAUUAGUUAAGGCAUGUAACAAUAUGUAUGUUACAAAAUUAAAUUUAUAUUUUGAUCAAUUUUUGUAUUAGUGGUUUAUAAAUAUCUGUUAUUGUUUAUUUAUUAACACAAAAAAUUAAUUAAUUAUUAAUAUAUAUAUAUAUAUAUAUAUAAUUUAUAAUUCGCACCGCAUGUAGUUUUUUCACCAAUCAAACAUUAUUUUGUACCGCUUAUUUUGAAUAAACCGUACUUAUCCCGCAAAUAUAUUUCUCCUACACGAACCGCAGUUUAACCGUACUACACUUCAAUAACGCUUUCCCCGCACUAUAAAAACCACGGUUACCAUUCGGACCCUUAGAGCUUGUUUAAAAAAUUGCUAGGCGUUAACCGGGCAUUCGGGGACUUAUCGAUAUUAGUUUUUAACAUUUUAAUAUUGAUAUAUACAUAUAAAUUAAAUAUCGGAAUAUAUGACAAUGGAAUUAAUUUGGUUGAGUGUCAUCUUUUUUUAUUUGGAAAUUGCACAAUCUAUACUCUGAGGAGUCGUUAUUUAGGUUCCCAAAAAAGCAACUGUUUGGCUGGUACUGUGGAUGUGGAAAUUGCGCAUGUAUGAAAAUAUAUUGUGUGAGACGGCUUCAUUAAAAUCUUAUUAGAUUAUUAUUGUUCUUCGCAUGUGGUUUUUGUUUUCUAUAUGUUUUUUAUUUAUUGAUUUAUGGGGAAACCAAUCAUCAUCAUCAUUUCCCUUCCAAUACGGAGAGCUUGGCAAUGCGAAAGAUUUGGAUGGCAAAUGUUUGGUAUAAAUUUUUCGACCCGUUAAUAUUAUAAUCUUGAUAUUAUUUUUGUUAACGUCAUUAAUCUUUUGCAGACGUAUGUGGAGCCUAUCAUUUUCCCUGACGUGGAGAUGAACCCGAAAGAAGAUUUAACCUGGUCUGACGAUGAGGAAGAUGUGAUGGGUUGAUAAUAUCGUCAUGUUAGUUGGUAAAGGGAUUACUUUUCAGCUCCCUCCAUUCUGAUUUGCCAACUCCUACAAAUGCUAAGGUUAGUUAACUGAUAUUUAUUUUAUAAUCGUUGUGUUUAGUAGUUUAGCAACUAAGUAUUAUAUGUGAGUAGCUAUAUUUUUUCUUUAUUUUUGUAGCUUUUUUGCCUCUGUUUCAGAGUUUUCAAUUAUCUCCAAGAUGUUGCAGGUAAACAAAUCUGUUGAGGUCCUUGAUCAUCGAGAUGAAGAACCGGUUUAUUUAUUUACACUCCAUUUUUGUUUAACUUUACUGUACAUUUUUGUUAACCCCCUCCAUAUUUUAUUAGCCGGUAAGAUUGUUAUCAUUCAUUUUCUUUUUAAUUAUUUUAUUCUGUCUUGCAGACCAAAAUCAAUCCUUCAAAAUUAACCACUACAGUCGAGGAAGAAAAGGAUUCUAAGGAGGUUAGAUAAUUCUUCCUUGUUUUUAACUUUCAUUUGGUUAAAUCCUUAACCGGUGAUAUAUUGCAUGUUUCAAUUUUAGGAUUUUACCACUCCACCCCUGUCAACCCAGUCUCGCUCUAACGUGAAGGUUAUCUUCUAACUAUGAUGUUAUCGCUUAUUGUUUAUAUUCAUCUUCCACGUUUGUAGGAUGUGGUGUGCCCUGCAAGUGUGUAUGCGGAUUAGCUGUUAAAAAAAAUAUUUCCAAGACGCAAGAAAAUUCGGGCUGCCCCUUCUUCCGCUGUGUAAGCAAAAGAGACGUGAGUUAUUUCCUCUCUAAAAACGAUGUUAUUAGCUUUUCUGGUAGCUACACGUUUUGCUAGUUAACCUAUCAUUCUUUUUGUAGGGACAUUUGUUUAAGUGGGUUGAGGAUGUUGUAUAUGAAGAAGUGGAAGAUGCAUUGGUUAGACUUGUAUCGAUUUAAAAUGAGGUAAAUGAUUAAAAGCGCAGGUCAUCCAGUUUUGUGUUGCUAUAAAAGAGUUGAAGGCAGAUUCAGUGUCCGACCAGUUGGUGAUGCUUAUGUUGAAAGUGGGCUUGCUUUUCAGAUUUGUCUUCUCUCUUUUUGUAGCUUUUGUUAUCGCAACACUUCUUAAAAUAGUCGAUAUUAAGUUCAUUAGUAGUUUUUAAUGUCUAUCUUUGUAAUGUUUCAUAGUUUCUAUAAUUCCCUAUGUUUAAGAUAUUAUAUUUGUUAGUCGUUAACCAUGUAAUAUAUACCUUGUAUCAAUCUUCUGUCUAUAUAAUAUUUUAUAACUUCUCAUUUAUUUCUUUAUUUUUGUACCAUUUGCACAUUCUUUAGGCGAUAUUUAUAACCAUUUUAAAACUUAUCUUUUAUUUUAAUUUUUUGGUAGCAUUUUCACAUUUAUUAAGCGAUAAUCUAAUUCUUAGCCAUCCAGCUGUGGUCCUAUCUUCUUAUUUUAGGACGCUAGUUAUCUUUUUUCUUAGUAUUGCAAAUUUUAAGAAGAGGGUCUAUAUCUUGGUACAUAUUUUGUUACAGAAUAUCAUUCAACAUAAACAUAUAUUUAACAUUCAGAAGGAAGGUUUGUUGGGAUCGUCCCUGAUUGCAGAUAAUACACAUUUUUUGGAUCAGUAAUUGUACGUAUAUACAUUGAAAAUUUUCUGAUCUCCGAAUUCUUGUUAUUUAUAAAACAUGACUUCUCGCGAGUCUUCUAAGCACGGAACCAUCCGUUCAAACCCUCCCAUAGUCCAAAAAAACAGUCCUCUCCUUCCAUCUUCAUCCGCAAAAAAAAAAUUUUCCUCGUCGCUUACUUGCCUCCAUGUACCACAUUAAUUUUUUGAUUAGCAGUCAUUUUUCUUUUUAAUCAGAUAACACCUACUUUAUCGACACUAGUUUCUUCAUACACCAUGGUAAAAGUUUUGUUAUCGGCUGCUUUUUCAAAAAAUGAUAAGGAGCUAUAUAUAUAGAUAGCAAACCAAAGAAAGUUGCCCUAACUACACACCUGAGACUUAAAUGCUCUAUGUUUCUAUCUUCUUUCAAUAUUUAUCGUUUGCAGUGGUUUAUAUGUUAGUUGUUUCAGUUCUUGUUGUUGCAGUAAUGUCGAUAUGGAGAUAAUAAAUAGGCAAACAUCUAUCUUCCAUAUCUGCACAAUCGAUUAUGUAUCAUAUGUAAUCAUUACUUUUUACAUUUUUUUAUUAGUUUGACCAGGGGGCGCAAUAUCUUCGAAGAUUACAGAGCAUUUAAUGCUCGUGAUCUUGCGGAAGGAGACUAGUGAUCCUCUGCUUGUAUAGGAACAAUUAUGUCAUAUUUAAUUUGCAAGAAAAUUUUCACCUAAAUAACGAAAUGAUAUGUAUAGAUCCUUAAUUAUUUUCUCCUGUAGGUAUAUAUAUUUCAUUCACUCUUUUUAGUUUAAUGAAAUAGUAAAUGACAAUAUUAUCCUCAUCUUAUUCUUUAGAUCUUAGCGACUGCAACCCUAAUUUUUGUCGUAUCGUUUUUCACAAUUCUUAUCAUUUUUUCUUACCCUUUAAUGAUUUAUACCCAAAUAUAAUAGAUCUACAACCUAAAGACCGAUUUAAAACUUGUAUUUCUUUUUAAAAAAUGAGUUUUUCUAAGAGUUUUCAAUUUUUUUUGGCGAUUUCAACAAAUCGAGGCGGUGGUGGUCUGAAGAGCGCUUAGUUGGACGAGUAAUCGGUUAGACGACCAAUUUUUAGAACAAGGGUCUUGACAAUCCACAAUGCAAGUGUUGAAUUAUUUAUUCAAUUGUUGAACCUUCACAUUGCACAUGUUGAAUAGUUUAAAAAAUCUUACGUGGAUUCAACUUGGUUGAAAGUAUUCAAUAUGUUAUAAAGAAAAAAUUUGGGCCCGCGCAUGCCACAUGUCAAUAAAUGAGUAAAGGAUGUGUUUCAAACUCGGAGAAAGGAGAGCGUAUUGUCCAAACCUUUUUCUUUUUACUUUUAUUUUUUUUUGCAAAAAGAAGAGAUUAUUGAGAUGCUCACACUUGCUAUAUUUUCAUUAGAUAUUAAGAUUUUGGAGAUUUUAUUUCUAUCUUAUUUAUUUACAAUCAAUUAUUACAUACCAAACAAUUUUUUUUUAAAAACUUAUAUUUAUAUGAAAAUUUAUAAAUUUUUAAACUCUAGAAAUAGAGACUUAGUUCAUUUUAUUUGGACACAUAAAAAAUAUUAUUUCUACCAUAAUUUUCUUAUUCUUCUCCCAUAAACUCUUGGUUAUAUCCUUUUUUUUUAUGGAUUCUAAUAAAAUCCCUAUGCAAAAUUAUACUAAUUUUUCCUUUCCCUAUCCUAAUUCCAACAAUAAUCCUACGCAAAAUUCGACUAAUUACGUUUUUCCUUAUCAAAAUCCCAACAAUUAUCAAUUUCAAAAUCUAUCUUUCAACCAACCUCAAAAUUUCCCAAAUUAUGAUUUUCUACCAAAUUUUUCUAUGCUCUCAUCUGUUCCAAACUAUAAUUCAUAUUAUAGAUCGAUUCCAAAUUCAUCUCAACCACCUCUUUAUGAUUUGAGGUUGUGAUUUUCAUUGACAUCAAAAAGAAAAAAAAAAAAAAUAUCACAGAAAGGAGACAAUGAAUAUGAUUAAUAUUUAAUUGGUAAACUAUUAGAUUAGGCGGGGGUUUUCUCAAAAAUUGUCUCUUUUGUAGGACUGUUGUCACCAAUAUUUUCAGUAUCUUUUACUUUUAUUAAUUUUUAAUAAAAUUUAUGAUAAUAAAAAAAAUGAAAAUAAUCGUAAAUAAAAGAAAAAAAGAGAGUUGUGGGUUCUUUCUUUUUAGUUACCCACGCAUCGCUGUCGAAAGAUUAAUUAUGAAAUCAGAUGUUUGGUUGAGUAUAAUAGUAAUGCAUGUCAUUAGUUUAAAUUUAUAAUAUUAAACAAAAUUAUAAAUAAGAUAUUUGAACAAAACAAAAUUAAGUUAGUUUAAACGUUAAUUGGAAACCAAAUAAGAGAUCUGUUAGGAAAAAAGAAAAUAUAUACCAAAUAAGAGAUACAGGAAAUCAGAAAUUUUAAUAUUAUGUGUUUGAAUCUUCUCACCAAAAAAAAUUAUGUGUUUGAAUCUUCUCACCAAAAAAAAUUAUGUGUUUGAAUCUAAUUGAUUAAUGGACACGGUCUAGUAAAUUAUAAUUUUUUUGACCCGCGAAAUAUAGUGAAACAGAGUUUAUCUCUAUACAACAAGACAAAAAAGAAGUUCUAAGAUCAAACUCUGUUUGAUAUACAAAAAUUAUAUUGUAAAUGAAAAUGGAACUUUGAGAUUGAUCUACAACAAGUCUGCUACACUCAUCACAAACGUAAUGUGAUUAUACACAUCCACGUUGGCCGCAAAAACUAAGGAUCUUGUAUCAUCUGGAUCAACAGACAAAAUCAUAUUGCAAUAGUCAGCAGCAUCACGUGCGAGACUAAGGUCGUCAUCAGUCUCAUCAACAUCACCAUUGCCCAUUGACCGCUGUGCCUUCAUUAGCCCCUCGACAACAGAAUCUUUAUAGUUCUCCAUACAACUCUUGAAACAUGGCUUCUUAGGAGAACCAAUGAGAAACUGUGUGUGCUCUGCCUUCUCCAUGGCUAGAGAAAGAGCCGCCUUAGCCAACUCUAAUACAGUCGAUGCGGAUUUCGUGCGAUGAUCUAACGUUAGGGAUUUGAUACAUUCUUCUUCUAGGGACGAGAAUGACGCGGUGCCUUUACAAGCCUUUGAUAUCAGUAAUGAUGGAUAUGGACAUGUCUUUGGUUUGGUUGAUAAAUGGGUAGCAAUGUUGGAUUUUGCAUUGGUAUAUGGCCACCGCGAGAGGAGAAGGAAGGUUAGGAUAUGGAUUGAUAGGUAUGCAUGAGAAGCAUAUAAACAAACCAUCGUUUUAUAUGUUCAACAAAGCUUGUUCUUUGACUAUAGGUUUAAAUGAAAUAGUAGAUUGAAGUUUGUACAUAUAUUAACUUUUGUUGUGUCAAUGGUUUAAAUUGUCCAUUGUUUAGUUCCACAAGUUUUAAACAUGAUAUGUUAUUUAUAGGUUUGGAAUGAACGAUAGAGGAAAAAUAAACUUGUCAACGCUAAUAAUAAAAGAGUGUAUCGAAAAAGAGAGAAAAAAACAAAAAUUCAUUGUGAUUCUUUUGUUAUUUUGUUUUUCAAUGAUUCAAUUCAAUGUCUUAAUUUCUCUCCUAACAUAAAAGUUAGUUAUGGGCAUUCGGUUAUCCAGUUUCGGUUCGUUUCCAUUCCGUUAUCGUUCUUUCGGUUCUAGAGUUUAGUAUCCAUUCAGUUAUUUUGAUAUUUCGGUUCGUUUCAGUUCUUACAGUUCUAAAAUUUAAUAUACAUUCGGUUAUUUUGCUUUGAGUAUUUUUGGAUAUUUCUGUUAUUUUUAUAUUUUUGAGUAUUUUUACUAUUUAUAUAUACUUUUUAGUAUUUUUAAUUAUUUAGUCUAGAAAUGACUAGUAUUUUUGAAAAUAUAAUUAUAUUUCGGAUACUUUUGGUUAUCCAAAAUAUUUCAGUUUGUAUCCACUCGAUUUCGGUUCUUUUGGUUAUAGAAUUUUAAUAUCCGUUAGGUUAUUUUCAAAUUUUCGGUUUUGCUCCGUUUUUUUACAUCGGUUGCGGUUCGGUACAUUAGGUUCGUUUUAUAUGCCCAAGCCUAAUAAAAAUCAUGUUCAUUUUGGUAUUUAUAGCUUUAGUAGACACAUGUUUAGUAAAACAAAUUCUCAAACAAGAAGAUUUAUGGAAUACCUUGUAAGACUACUUAGACUAGUUACAAUGGUUUGGUGGUGAAAAAAACAUUUCCACUACGAUGGUGUGCUGUAAUCAAAGCUAGGUGAUGUGGCAAAUUUAGUAUUGAUAAAUAUCAAUACCCGUGAAAGUAGAACAGAGAAGAUAAGUGUGACAAGUGUUAUAUUUUGAUUGGUUGCUUUGAUUUUUAUUUUUUUUGUUUCAUCUCAACUAUAUAACUUCAAUUAUUUUAUAAUAUUUGUACAUAAAAAUAUCAAAAUUUAUAUCAAAAUUUCUAAUUUUACAUUCUCUAUAAAUAGAGACUAUUUUCAUUUGAUUUGGAUACAGAAAAAAAAACUAUUUUUAGACCCAAAAAAGGUAUAAUCGCCAAAAAAAAAACUUUUGUUUUACCUUUAAAUAUCUUUUUAUCUAAGUGGAUCCAAACAAUAACCCUUUCAACACCCAAAACUCUUCUAAUUACCCUUUUAACUAUGCAAAUCCCAACAAUUAUCAGUUUCAAAAUCAAUCUCCUAACCAACCCCAACAAUUAUCAGUUUCAAAAUCAAUCUCCUAACCAACCCCAACAUAUAUCAAAUUAUGGUUAUCCACUAAAUUUCUUCAUGCCGUAAGCUGUUCCAAACUAUCGUCCAUUUCAUGGAUCGAUGAUGUCUUAUCCAUCUUAAACACCUCCUUAUUUUCCUACUCCAACAGGUAAUGAAACUGAUUCGAAUCUUGGAGCAACUGAUUUUCCCGAGUUUUCUACCCAAAUGGCUCUUGGUGGUAUUAGGGUAUUCAUGAAGCCAUUCCAGAUGCAAAGGAUUCAACUCCUUCUCGUCGGAGAAGUCCCAAAUGGACCACUGAUCAAAAUUUGGUUCUCCUGAGUGGGUGGAUUAAAUUUGGAAGAGACAGUAUUAUUGGCAAAAACUAAAAAUGUGAGUCAACUGGGGUAAAAUUGCUGAAUAUUGUAAUGAACAUUGCUCAUUUGAUCCUCCCCGUGAUGGAGAAGCAUUCAGAAAUCACUAUAAUUAUGUGAACAAAAGCGUGAACAAAUGGGCUGGCGCUUAUGAUAACGCUAAAUGUAUGCAACAAAGCGGGUGGUUGGAGGAUGAUGUAUUGGUAAAAGCGCAUGAAUUAUAUUCAAGUGCUGGUAAAAGAAGUUUCAAAUAGGAGGAAAUACUUAUUCUGGAAGCAGUGGAUCUAAAAGAGCCCACGAGAGUGAUGCUAGUGACUCAAACUCUGUAGGAUCUAGUGCUCGUCCAAUGGAAAGAGAUGCUGCUAAGAAAAAGCUAAAAAAAAAGGUAAAGGCGCAGCGUUGAAAGUGGUCAACGAAGAGUCGAACGAAUUUUAACAAUUCAAGGCACAAGAGUUGGAUAGGUUGGAGAAAAUAACUAUGAUGCACAGUGAAACAAACCAAUUGAUUAAGGAAAAGACUCAUGCUAAAAAGAUGAAGAUGUUUAUAGAGCUAACUGAAAAAGAGAAUCUCGAUGACAAGAGCAAAAAGCUAUUGCAACAAUUGAGCCACGAUCUAUUUGGAAAUUAAUUAUUGUCAAGUGGUUAUCUGUAUUUUGUCACUUCAUGCUUUAACGUGUGUUUGUCACUUUCUCCUUUAAUAAUUUGUAUUGUCAUGUUAUGCUUUAAUAAUGUGUGUUUGUCACUUUCUCCGUAAUUUGUAUUGUCUUCUAUGCUUUUUUUUUUUGUGCGAAAUAUUGUCUUAUAUGCUUUAUUAAUAUUAUCCAUGAUUUUAAAUAGAGAAUCUUAUCUUAUCCAUGACUUUUGGUUUGAAGCACUCAAUUCGAAUCCAAGGCACCAACAAUUUAAUUCGUUGUUUCCAUUUUUUUUAUAAAUUAGAACUCAUUCUUCCAUUGAUGUACAAACCAUAAAUCUUACCUUACUAAAAAUCUCAAUGGAUCCAUCAGAAUAUCCUUUUGACAUCAAAGCUUACAAGAGGCAGUCUGAAAUUGAAGAGAUGUAUAUCAUCAAUCGGUUUAGGGAGCGUCGAAACAAAAUAGGGGAAGACUAUCCACCUCGUAGCAAGAGAAAAUACUUUAAAAGAGACCAUGCAUCAGCAAAAUUAAAGAAUAUUGACGACUACUUUGCCAAUGAACCUAUAUAUGACGAUGCAAUGUUUCGUCGGUGAUUCCGGAUGAGAAAACAUAUUUUCUUUCGGAUCGUUGAAGACUUAUCAAACAGCGACAACUAUUUCACCCAACGAUAUGACGCAGCCAAGAAAGAAGGUAUAUCUCCAUUACCAAAAUAUACUACGACCAUGCGAAUGUUUGCAUAUGGUGUGGCAGCUGACGCGGUGGAUGAAUACAGUAAAAUUGGAGGUACUACUACUUUAGAGUGCUUGCGAAGAUUCUGUAAAGGAAUCAUAAAGCUGUAUGAGACAGAGUAUCUCAGAGCCCCAACUCAAGAUGACCUCCAAAGAAUUUUACGUGUUAGUGAGAUGCGAGGGUUUCCCGGGAUUAUUGGGAGUAUUAAUUGCAUGCAGUGGGAAUGGAAAACUUGUCCUACAGUGUGGGAAGGUCAAUUUACUCGAGGAGAUAAGGGAACCACCACUGUUAUUUCUGAAGCAGUUGCAUCUCAUGAUCUAUGGAUCUGGCAUGUUUUUUUGGAUGUCCGGGCACACUAAACGAUAUAAAUAUCCGUUCACCGGUGUUCGAUGAUGUUGAACAAGGAAAUACUACAAGAGUGAAUUUUUUUGUGAGCCAACAUCCGUAUAAUAUCGCUUACUAUCUAGCUGAUGGUAUUUAUCCUUCUUAUCCUACUUUCGUCAAAUCGAUUAGGCUACCUCAAAGUGAACCAGACAAGUUAUUUGUACAACGUCAAGAGGCGUGUCAUAAGGACAUCGAACGUGCAUUUGGAGUGCUGCAAGCUCGAUUUAAAAUCAUUCGUAAACCAGCUGGCCUGUGGGACAUAUUCGAGUUGGCUAUCAUCAUGAGAUCGUGUAUCAUAUUGCAUAAUAUGAUUGUUGAGGAUGAACGAGAGACAUAUGCUCAACACUGGACGGAUUAUGAUCAAUUUGAGGCAAGUGGGUCGAGUACACAACAACCAUUCUCGACCCAAGUGCUACUCCUAUUUGCAAAUCAUGUGCGUGAUAGAUCCAAAUUGCGUGAUUCAAAUGUACAUCACGAAUUGCAAGCAUAUCUAGUCAAACACAUAUGGGCACAAUUUAGAAUGUUCUUGUUGUCUGCUUAUUGUAUUUUUGUAUUUUAAAUUUGUGUUCAUUGUAUGUGUUUUAGUAAUAAUAAUUUUUUCUUCUCGUUUUAAUUAUUUGUAAAAGUUUUUAAAAAUAUUAUAUAAAAUAAAAACAAAUAUAAACACAACAAUACUUUAUAAAACUAUUUAAUGUUUAAUUCUUUUAAAUUUAAUUUGAUAUUAACGAUGGUUAAUAAUAUGUAAUCACAAAAAACAUAAACAUAAAUAAAAUGAAAAAUAUGGAAUAAAAAUGGUGGGGUAAGAUGUUGUAAUUUUACUAAACAAAAACUAUUGUAAAGAUAAAAAUUGGGUAGGUGUUGAAUAAUGAUGUGGAAGAAAGAGAAGAUGAUGUGGAGUGUUAAAAGUAAAAAAGUGGGUGUUGUAAAUGAGUAACCAUUGUGGAUAGUCUAAGGAUAAAAAUUGUAUAGGUGUUGAAUAAUGAUGUGGAAGAAAGAGGAGAUGAUGUGGAGUGUUAAAAGUAAAAAAGUGGGUGUUGUAAAUUAGUAACCAUUGUGGAUAGUCUUACAAUGGACACGUUGAAAAAAAUAUUUGAAUAUGGUGCAAUGGUUGUUUUAAUAAAUGUUGUAGAGGAUGUGGCAAAUUUGGUGAGUAGGGAAAAAUAUCGUUUAAUAUUCCAACUUUCAAAUUAUGGCCAUUUUAUACCUCAACUUUAUAUGUGACCAUUUUAAAUAUGAAGAUAUCGUUGACCAACCGUUUAAACCAUAAACAUUAGUUGACCAGGCUAAAAAAACUAACCGUUAUCACUCGUUAACAGAUUAUCUAACGUCCGUUAACAUCUCCAUUAGCUACCCCUAAACGACGUCGUUUUCAUAUUUUAAAAAUAAAUAACGAACGUAGGAUUCAAACUUGUAACCUAGAGAAAAACUAGAGACUUACUUAACACCCUCACCAACAGUAUUUUAUUGGUGAACUUUGAGAAACAUAUAUUUAUUAAAGUUUUCUCCUUCAACUUUAACCUACAAAACAAAACCAUCUCCAUAGCCGCCGCCUCCAAAUCCGUGUUCUCUCUCCAUUGAUUUUUUUAAUCUUAAUCAUAUAUUGUUUUUUGUUGAUUGAAAAAAAUUUGUAUUUGCUAAUUCAAUUCAUCUGGAACCUAUUUCUAUGAACACCAUUGAUGGAUUAGUCAAUUGAUAUGAAAUCAGUUACACAAACAGCACUAGUUCUUCGUCGUCUCACAUGCACCUUCGUUGUCUCACGUACACCUUGUGUAUAUGAUCUGUGAUUGCUCUUAAGCGGAUCUGAUGUAUUUAACGGCAUAAUAUAUAAUUAUGUGUUUCCGAAUAAUAAUUAUUAAACACUUUAUCUUAGUUGGUGUGGACAAGCAUAGGGAGCACUCGAAAGUUACGGGUUCGAAUCUUGAGUAAGUUAUUUCUUUUUAAAAUAUAAAAAUGACGUCGUUUAAGGGUAGCUAAUAGAUGUUAACGGACGUUAGAUAAUCUGUUAACGACUGAUAACAGAUAGUUUAUUUGGCCUGGUUAACGAAUGUUUAUGGUUUAAACGGUUGGUUAACGAUAUCUUCAUGUUUAAAAUGGCCACAUAUAAAAUUGUGGUAUAAAAUGGCCAUAAUUUGAAAGUUGGAGUAUUAAACGACAUUUUUCCUGUUGUAAUUUGUCAACACCGUGAAUUUUACUGGGUGGGGUUAUCUUUGUCUUGUGUUGUGUUUUCAUUGGUCACUAAAAUUUGACUUUUUCGUCCAAUAAUUUUUGAACUCAAUUAAAUUAUAAUAAACUUUUUUUUUUGUCAUCUGAUAAUUUAUUAAAGAAAAAAAUAAUAAAGUACAUAGUUAGAUCCAAAAGCCAAGUAGAACAGAAAGAGAAACAAAAUAAAAGAGAAACAACGAGAGAUACAAAAUGAAAUUUAAACUUUACUCUCCUCAAACACUUGAUUGUGAAACCAUGAAGGCUCUCCAAGUGCUAUGUAAGACUGAAACCUUCUUUCUUGAAUCACACUUCGAGAAAUGGAUCGCGCGAUCAGAUUUGCGUUUGUGGCAAUAUGACGGAAUGUACAAGAUUCAAAUGCACCAGCAAUCUCAUGGAUUUGUGCUAACCAAUUCCUGUAGAAAGGCCAUUUGGACGGCUGCAAAACGGCGUUAACUGCGGCUGGAUAUUCCAACUCUAUUAUCACCUUGGAGACGUGAAUAUCUUGAAAUGCUUUCAACGACCGUAGAAUGCAGCACAGCUCAGCCCCUGUUCGAUCUUGAAUUGGCGUAAACGCAUCUCGUGCAUGGUGUUUAGCUUGCCCUAUAUCUCUUACAAUUCAAGCUCCUCCACACAUCGAUUGUUUAUUUAUCCAAAAAGAAUUCAAAAUGCAUUUAAGAAUACCUUCUUGGGGUUUCCUCCAUUUGUUUCCAUCCAAAUUGGAGGUGAUUGCCGAGAGAAUACUGUUGAAGGCUACGUGUUCACCAUUUUCCAAUGCAUUGUGUCUUCAUACGCUUUUUGAACUAAAACAUGAAAAUUCCAUACCUUUACUUUGAAAACGGUAUGAUUACGAUUCUUCCAAAUUGCCCAUAGAACCCAUGGAAUUGAUAGUCGAGUUUGCUUUGGUAUGUGCUUGUCUUCGAUAACAUUCAAUAGAUGAGAGAAGUUUGCUAGUAAGGUUGUUGAAGAAAAACCUUGAUCCGAAGCUUGCACAAAAUGCUGAGAUUAAUAUGCUUAAAAGGAGAAUAUGGAAUCUAAAAUCUGAGCCACAAAUCAAGCUUUUCUGUUGGCGUGCUCUUUCUGGUGCUUUGGCUGUGGCAGAACGUUUAAGCUCACAGGGAAUACAACAUGACACAAAGUGCCAAAUUUGUGGUAUAGCUACAAAAACAAUAUGUCAUACUCUAUUCUCUUGUGACGUAUAGAAUAAGAAAAUGAUGAAUUUUGGUGUAAAUUAUUUAUGUAUCUAAUAGUAGUUAUUAAAAAAACCAUUGUAGUAUAUGAAAGUAAACUGAAUGUUGAAUGAUGAUGUGUAAGAGAGAGAAGAUGAUGUGUAGGUUGUUGUAAUUUUAAACCAAUGUAAAUAGUCUAAUAAAAAAAUAUUUGGGUUCACCCCACUCUUGUUCACCCUCUCUUAAUAAGCCAAUCAAAAUACAACAAAAUGCCAUGUCGUUUAAUAUUUAACAAUUAAAAUAUUUGGGUUCACCUCUAGGGUGGUUAAAGUUUAGAUUUUAUAAAUAAUUGAAAAUAUAUUUUGGUUGAGUUUAUAAAAUAGUGGUUAGAGUUUAAAUUUUAUAAAUAAACAAAAUUAUAUUUCGGUUUGGAUUGAUAAAAUAGUGGUUAGGUUUAGAUUUUGUAAUUAAACGAAAUUAUAUUUCGGUUUGGGUUGAUAAAAUAGUGAUUAGGUGUUAGAUUUUGUGAUUAAACUAAAUUAUAUUUUGGUUUUGGUUGAUAAAAUAGUGGUUAAAGUUUAGAUUUUGUGAUUAAACGAAAUUAUAUUUUAGUUUGGGCUGAUAAAAUAGUGGCUAGACUUUAGAUUUUGUAAUUUAAUUAAUUUAUUUUUUCAAUAUAUGAUAUGUCAAAUUCUAAUUGGUCAUUAAAAAAUGGUGAACCCAAGAAUUGUUCUUGUAAUAAUUAAACUUCUUAGAACAACAAAAAUUUACAAUAAAUUUAUAAAAGGAACAAUUAAAAAAAAAAAAAGGAGCAAAAAGCAUGAUAAAAGCUGAGAGAGGAAACUUAAAAAGCACACUUGUUUCCAAAACUAAAUAGGGUCAGUCCCAAAAUUGGAUUUGUAUAGUAACAAAUGAAUAACGGAAAAGAGAGUUUCAAGAUCUACGAACAACAGCAGUAGCGAAAUAAGGAUGAUGGGUGAACUCAAACGAUACCUUAAGCGAACGGUCUUGACAGAAAAGGUUCACAGCAACAAUAUUGCGUUCCGCGACUUUCUCUAAUCCCGUGACUUCAGCCAGCUUAUCAGGAUCGUUGGCGUAACCGACCUUUAUGUCCUUAGCGAUCUUUUGAGCAUCGUGAAAGUACUCAUACAUAGGAAGAUACUGCAGCAAAAGUAAAUAGAUACAACUUUACUUGCAUGUUCAAAACUCUUUCUAAUCGAACAUAGUAGAUUUAUACGUGUACACAUUCAUCACUAAAACAUUGUAAACAUUACCUAUGUUAUUAUUUGCUCAAUGAAGAUUGGGAUCUCAAUUUUCAUGUGUUUAUAUUUAUUAAUCAAGUUAUUGCUUUUAAGCAAAUAGUUAACUAAUAAAUCCUACAUAGAUAUAUUUUAAAUAAACUGUGAAUCCUAAAUUUUUCCGUAUUUUCCGAAUUACCUGAACCGAACUCAAGAUUUUGCGAUUUAUGGUAUUAAAGCAGAUAGUGAUUGUAGGUACCCGGACUACCUUUACAGUACUCGAUUCCCUAUCACCCAACCAAUUUUUUUAAGUGUAUGCUUCGGGUAGUAGAUUUAGAUAUACCUGAAAUAACCAUAUCCAACCCUUACCAGCUAUUACCUGACUCUAUACCCUAAAUGCACAUGCCUACUUCUACAAUUCAUUUGACCAAGUAAACAGGAUUAAGCACAAAAACAAAGUUGAAUAAAGCACACUUACGUCGAGACGAGCAUGGGAUGUGGAUUUUGAGAACGAUUCAUAUGCGUCAUAUUCUGGAAGGGAUGCCUUCUGAAGGAGUUCAAAAUGCUGUAUAAAUUUCUGCAUGUCAAGGAAAAUGGGUAGUUGAAGUCAUACACAGGAAGGGAUAAAACCACUCACCCAUUACUAAGGCUGAGGAUUUUUAUCUUACACAUUAAUUCAAUAACUAUGCAACAGAUAAAGAGACUUAUGCUUACCUCAUUUUCGGUAUUAAAAGGUCCUUGACUCUUUAAAGACAUUCCUUCAUUUCUCAAAGCUGCAAUCAUCUACGGGUAAAUACACAAGGUUUGGUCAGGUUUAGAGUACUUGAUAUCAGCAAUAGAAGGAGCUGGAAACCAAGAGAUUGAAGACAAAAUUACCACUGUGAGGCCUUGUGCAAGACAGGUCUGACAUUUGAGAAACAAUACCCAUAGACUAAUCCGAUCUUCCCGAGCCAUGUCCCUAGAAUACUCCUUAUUCCUCUUUGCUUUUCUUUCCUCUGAUCCAGAUGAAGGUAAAUGCAUUAUAAAAAGCUACAAAUACACACUAUGCAGUUAUGCCAAACCAAUUACUGUACAGAUGGUUCAUCUCCGAAACACUAGGACACAAAAUAAAAACAAAUGGAUAUAUGAAUGCUUACCAGUGUUCACAACGAUUAAGACCCUGAAACGUGCUCUUUCGGCAAGCUUCCAGAGUAUAAUAUACAUGUACCAGUAUACCAUGCAAUAUUCACUUGGCGAGUAGAGGUCUAGGUCAAAUCCCAGCAUGAGAAAGCGAAUUGCCACCCAAUUAAUUUGCUCUUCUAAUCCACCAUAUAUAUGGUUUAAAAUGAGUAGAGACUUAUCCUGAAAGGUACAUAAAUGCAAGUUAACACAAAAUUCAAUAUCUGCUUAUCAAUAGAGCCAAAAUUUUCCGAAAGAGAAAACAGAAGUUGUAGGAAUUUUGACUACUGGUUUGUUCAUGCUAACAAUGAAUAGACAGCCGUCAACUAGAUUCAGAUAGAGGUUUGAUUAAAUGGACCCAUAGUGAUGGUAGUAAACCUACCCCAUUUUUCGAACUGCGUGAUGUAUCUUGCUGCAUCAUUUGACCAACAGCAAUCCCCAUCUGCCAAAUACAGGAAAAUGUAUGAAUGAGAUCUUGACACAAAAACCCAAAUCAAUAUGCAAACAAUUUUAGGGUAAGCGAGCUUACAUAUAGUUAAGUAAAGAAUAAUACAGUUCCAACAAAGGCACAAAUGGUAUAACCUGCACAUGGAAUACGCUCCAGUCAUUUAAGAUUUUCCCAAGCUUACGCCUCUGCCAUGGGGUAUUAGCGCAUAGUAUUUUAAGUAGAUUAACCAUCAACUGCACCACAAAAUGAGAAUAGAGAUCAAACAGAGAUUUCUAAGAAAGGAGCCAGUUGAAUAAUUAUCUAACUUUUUCAGGAUCCAGAGGCUACCAAAACCACAAAACAUAGACAAGGCAUUCUCAUCAAAGUCCCCAUUAAAACAAAUAAUUUUUUGUUGUUUCAAUCUUCUUGAUGAUUGCAAAUUAGUUACAUCCACACAUGCUGAAAUUCUCUGAGAUUGGGGCUUAUACGCCAGACACCGAAUAUUGAACAAAACCAAUGAAAGAUUAUUCUUUUCAAGGUUUUACCAAGUUCCAAACUCUUUUCAAGGAAGAAUAAAGAGCUACCUCAUACACGUUUGUAGAAAAAAAUGUACCCAACGUAUUCUUUUAAUAUACUGUGUUUACCUGAUUAAGUUGAAGAAUGUACUCAUUCGUAUGGAGGCCAUGGUUCUUGGAGACAUCUAAUGCAAGAGAUCUGGCGCAAAUUGUCAAAAAGGUAUCACGGCCGUAAAGUUUCCCAUCUUGCACAAGGAGAAGCUGUAGAACAAGAUUAUUUAUUGAGUAUAAAAGGUAAAAGCAUUUUGCUAGCUUAAUACAUAAUUUAUUCACAAAUAUUGCUAAUAUCAUAACAAAAAUGGACAACCAUAUCAAUGCUUAACAGAAAUUUACAAUCAGAAUCAACCUCAACUACAAAUAUUGGAUCUAUAUUCUUAUAAGUCUUCAUAAGAAAGAAAAAUGAGAGUGUCAGCCACUACAUAUUCCAGUGUCAUCAUAAAUAAUAUCUAGAUAACAAUAAUAGUAAAGAGUCAACAAGAAGAAUAAGCAGAGCAUUCAACAGGCCUGUUGGCGAAAUGGGGCUUGAGGUGGUUCACGAGAGUUGGAUAUUCUCUAGUCCAUUGGUUCUAAGUUUAUGCAACUGUUCUUACAGAAAUAAAGGAGAUUUCUACUAUAGUCAUAUGGCUGAAUCACUCAACUCUAAGUGACAAUGAAUUGAAAAUGAGUGCUAAUGAACACAAAACUGCAAAGCAAGGAAGCGGGUAAAAGAAGAAGCCAUAUUAUCCACUAUACAAACACACCCUAGUGGAUGUAUGCGAACAUCAGUGCAACUACAGCCAAAAUAGUUACUCAAAACAAGAAAACAAAAUGAUAAAUGGGUAUCUGAAAGCACAGAGCUGCAUGAUAUUGAUGCGUUAAGUUAAAGUAACGCACCUGAAGAUGAGCCCUAGCAACCAAAUCAGGACGAGAUUUUUGAAACUGAAUCACAAACUCCAAGACGGCCUCUAAAUCUGGUUCCAAUGAAAAUGCACAGAUCUUAUCCAGAUUGUGAAGAAGUUUCACAUAAUAGUCAAUAGCCUGGAGAAUCAAAAAUUGAAAAAAGUUACUAAAAAGUUAUAUACACACAAACUAAAUUACGUAUACAGAGAAUUUAGAAGUCCCAACCUUUUUCCAAGAAAGAAGUUUAAUGGCACGUGGCGGCGUUGGAGCUGAUAAUCUUUUGUUUAAAGUAGGAUCAAAUCCAAUGGGGGACCGACCAGAAGCAGUUGUACUUUCUUCUAUCUCGUUUACGCCAUUCUCGAAAAUAUCUAAUCUUAGAAAUUCUGCUGAAUCCAGAACAGAAUCUAGCUCUGAUAUGCAAUAGCCUAUAUGUUUCCUUGCCAAUUCGAGGCCACGUCCUUGUGGUCGUCUCAUACAAUUAAGAGCAUGUAGAAAAUGCUGAAAGUUAUUGAGGAUAUGUUAAAACAACUAGCAGUGCAAAAGUAUAUAACAGCUACUAUUUUUUUUUUUAAAAUGGCUUACGAAACAAAAUAAUAAUAACAUCAUGAAUCACAUGUCUGGCGAGAAUUUUUAACCAAAAAUAAGGGUAAACAGGUAAUAAAAGCUGCCAUAUACUCAAAAUUUAGUCUCUGCUAAGCUUGUUCAUUCUUGUAAGUUGCAUAACAUGGAAAAUUUAACACAAUAAAACAUAUAUUAACUUUGUCUACCACUCCCCAUUGUGAGGUUAGGUUGAAGAAAAGCAACUCAUCAUACUCUUGUUACGUGUAGUUUAUCAAAGAAAGAAUAAAUAAAGCAUGAGACCUUACGGAACACUGGAUAAAAGACCAAAUGCAAAUUUUAAGUACUAAUUGUAGUUUUUCUUUUUCAAAGCAAGCAAUAAAAAAUUCUAUUCAUCGAUGGCCACCAGAAUACUAAUAAAAGGAACAGACUUGGGACUAUAUUAUACACUAGUUAACAUGACUUAAGUUGGGAAAACCUGUAAUUAACAACAUUUAUCAAAGAAAGAAUAAAUAAAGCAUGAGACCUUACGGAAACGUAUCCGGCAUAACAGAGAUUUGCAAAAACUCUCUUCCAGAUGGGGAUUACUUUGUAGAGGUUCCAAUUCUGCAUCUUUAACAAACAAAAGGAAAGAAAGUUAUUGUUCUCAGUUCGUGCUGCUGUGCACCAUUGUUACAAAUAAACAAUAGACCAUAUCACUCAAAGAGAUGGUAAAUUUUUAAAAAGAAAAAAUCAAUUGUAAUAAUCAGCGGACUUCACAUAUAAAUCAUUACUCAAUAGAAGACUCAAAGUUAUCGUAUAUAGGCCAGAGAGGCUAAUUUCAAGUUGGUAUAUGCUUAGAGAGCACUUGCAAAAUAUCUAAUUCCAAUGCAUUAUACUGUCUCCAAAUCACAAAUCACCAUUAAAUGUGUAAACAACAUAUCAUAAGAAAAGAAGCAACAGAAGACUCUUCGAUCCCCUCAUAUGAAUACGCUCUUCAUAUUUCAAUUCUGCAAGUGUGUGUAUGUAAAAUAAAAAAGGAAGAUAUGCAAAGCAAAAAAAGUACCUUCCAACAUUCUCCUUCUUGUGGCCUUACAAGCACGCAGCUGACGACAGAUAGUUUCUUCAACCGCAUUCAAGAGUAACAAGCCCUUGGCAUCUUCUUCUCCACUAAAAGGAAGACCAUAUGUCAUCGUAAAAAGAUCCUCUUCCUGUUAAUGAGCAGGUAUCAGGUGAAUCAUUCAGAGUAAACUAUCCAUGAAGCAGGGGCAUCUGUCUAGUUAAGAGAAACUUCUAUCCAAAAUAUCACAACAAAUCUUCUCAAGUAUUUUAUCUUCAUUUAGCUGCAUAAUGGUGGAAAUUUCUACAGAAAUAAGUUAUACGCUCUGCUAAUCAUCUCAAGAUUAAAUAACAACUGCUUAGGCUAGAUGAGAACGGAUGCCAAGACUUCAUUAGAAGAGUAAAGUCAAGUGAAUCCAGUUUUCGUCUCUGAUGUCAUAAGCUUAAGGUUAAUGACAACUAUGAAAUGUCAAAAUGGGUUAGCAACUGUUUUUCUUUACGCCAUAAAAGAAUGUUGGACAUAGCAAAAGAUUUUAGGAGCAAACAUUGAACACAAACUAAACCUUUAAUGAAAAGCCAAAAAACAUACAGAAACAUUUGCUUAGCCCCACAAGAAUAAAAGAGGACCAAAAAUUGUAAAAGUUAAUUACUUCAUUUGUACGCGCAUCUGAAACAACAGAAACAACUGCCCUGCAAGUUGCUCGGAUGACCCUACAAUAAGAAUGUAAUAGAGCCUGUGAAGAUGUCCUCUCAGGCCUCAGAACAUAGAUGCAUGAAAACACAGUUUGGGCCAAUGAAUGACCCAUGUGCCAUGUUGCCUGCAAAAGAGUAGAGACACAAAAUGUGGAUAAAUCAACUCCAAGGCUGACAUGUUAGCUACAUACAUAUCUCUUUAUCACAAUUAUACCUUGCAAACUCACACAGUAUUAUAUGAGCACAUGUAAAGAAGAGAUUACCUCACACGCCAGGAGAUGGUCCAUAAUGUCAAUGAUGGAUUGCACAUUAACAGUACUAUCCGAACUUAUAGGGACGGGCGCAAAACCACUUUCGAUGGCUUCAUCUAUAGAAUAAAACGUAGACACCAUACCAGAAUCCAUCUUUGGGUCCAUUAUCUAGUACAAAGCAAGGACACCACACCAUGUUUGUUAUACACACUUAUAGCAACCUCACAAUCUAAGUUUACAGCUAAGAACAGUCCAAACAUAUUUUGUUACAAAAUAGAAACCUCUAAAGCAGACAUGGCAGCAAAAAGAUUGAAAUUAUCUCCAUUUAUGAGUUCACCUUCUUGAAGAUCUGCAAACAGAACGACUCAUGAAACUAAAACAAGUGGGGAAUACAAGCAAAAUAGGCAAUUGCGAUCAGUACCAGAGCAGGCGGCGGAGAGGAGAGGUGAUACAUCGGCCCAGACGGAGUUAUUAUCACCGGAAGGGAUAGAAGAAGAGGUUUUAGAGUCGUGAUGAAUCGGAGAAGACGAAUCUUCAUCUUCCCUAACUGAUUGCAUCGUUUGUUGUUGUUGUUGCUCAGGAAACUUGAAAAUCGCUUUAAUCUCUCGUAAUUGGUUUUUUUUGCUACUUAUGGUAUAAGUUUCGUCUUGCUCGAUGGAACACUUUGCCUGGGCUGUUUAGGGUAAUUUUCGGGUCGGAUCCUCAGCGGAUACCCAACCCCCAAUCACCCGAGCCUCCUGCCGUCUUUUUUUUAUAAAUCAACCUUUAAAACCAACAAAAAGAUUUUCAAAAUUUUAAAUCUAUAGUUUUAUGGGUGAAUUUGCGGUAUAAUCAAAAUCUAAUGUAAAAUAAAAAAUAUAAAAUCUUAUUGAAAAAUAUUAAGAAAGUAAUUAGAUUAGUGAAAAGAUAAAAUUGUAUAGUGAAAGACACGCACAAUAAAAAAAAAGAAGAGGUUUUGAAUGUUUUGUAGAUUUUGUAAGAGUUUUUGGUUUUUGUUUUUUAAAAACUUAUUUUUAUACCAAUUAAGAUUUUAAAAUUUUGGUUUCCCUACAAUUUAGUAAAUUUAUUUUAUUGUAGUUUUCCAUUCAUGAUUUUAGUUUUUUAGUUUUCCUAAAAUUUAGGAAAUCUAGUUUUUAUUCAAUCAACGUUAUUUUUCUCAAAAACCAAAAACCGAUUUUUUGGGGUUUUUAAAACAAAAAUAUAAUAACAAAAAUCUAAAACUAAAAUCUAAAAUCUAUAAACUAAAAUCUAAACUCAAAAACUGAAUCAAAAAUCAGCAUCCAUUCAGAGCUAGAGUAUAUGAUGAUAUAUGUAAAAAAGUAGAGAGAAUAAUAAAGAGGAAUUGCAAAACUAACACAUUUUUACUAAAAUAUUAAGAAUAUAACAUUAUAUAUGUAUCAGUUAACUAACUAACCUAAAUGGUAGAUUAAAUGAUCAUAGGUGGUGGUUUGGAUCCGGCGACGGCGGUGGCUCCGGCGGCGGCGGUGGCUCCGGCGACGGCAGUGGCUCCGGCGACGGCGGUGGCUCCGGCGACGGCGGUGGCUCCAGGGACAGCGAUGGCUCCGGUGACAGUUCUGGUGGUGGCUCCGGCGAUAGCGGUGGCUUCGGCGAUAAUUCCGACAAUAACAGUGUCUCCAGCGAUAGUUCCGGCGGUGGUUCCAGGGACGGUGGAGGCUCCGGUGACAAUGGGAACACCGACGAUGGGGUGGUUGCUCUGGUGAUGUCAUUCGUUCUCGUAACGGGGGUAGCUCCGACGGCGACGGUGGUGUUGAUGACGGUGGCUGUGGCGGCGGUAGUGGGUGUAGUGAUGAUUGUUGUGGUGGUGGUUAAUGGUGAUUAUUGUGAUGGCGAAAUUAUAAUAUAAUAUAUUAUACAGUUAUUAUAGUGUAAAUUUUUUCUAAUAGGCUAGUUUCUUAAUUUGUAAUUUUUUUUAAGUUAUACAUGCAAAUUCCCAAAAUACUAAUGACAUGGCUAAAUUAAUAUCACCCCAAAUAAUUUUGCUUGUUGAUUUAGUCUUAUAAAUUUUGCAAUAAUUUUAUAAGAACAUAGAUUUUUUUGAGUAUAACAUGAUUUAAAUUUUUAAAAUCUAAUACAAAUUAUUUAAAUUAGGGAACAAUGUUUGUCUAAACCACACAAAUAAAAUAGUAUAGAACAAAACGUAGAUAAUUCAAAAGGCCGAGUUAAACCGCUCUAAUAAAAAAAAUACUAUCCCUAUGAGAUACAAUAUUGGCAAUCCAAGUAACUAAGGUAAACUAUAGCGGUGAGCCGGUGACGUUGACGAUGGUAAUAGUGGUGGUGGCAACGAUGAUGGUAGUGGUGGCAGUGGCACUAAAAAUGACAUUGAUGGUGGUAAUAUUAAUUGUUAGUGGUGACAUGAUGAUGGUAGCGGCAAUGACGGUAGUGGCGGUGGGAUGGUAGUGUAGUAAUAAUUGUUACUUGUUAGUAAUGGUAAUUAUAAACUAGUUUUUUAUUUUAUUUUAUUUUAAUAUAAAAAUAUAUAUAGAAGAUGAGAUUACUAGCUAGAGAGAAAGGGAGAAAGAAAAAUCCACAUGUAUUGAUAAAUAAAUAACCAGAGCAAAAUACUAAUAAUUUACAAACUCCCAAAUAUUGUGUUAUAAAUAGGUUUAGUGUUUUCAAUGGGUUGCAAAUAAAAGAGUCAAAUAGGUAGAAGAGACCUUUGGGGAAACUAUAAAAUUUAGCAUUCGUGGUAGAUGAAGAAGGGAGAAUCUAAUGAAAGAAUCAGCAUGAAAUGCAACAGAGGAGGGGAAAAAAGAAGGUGUAUGUAGUGUAGAGGGCAAAGUUAUCAUUAAUACAAAAAAUACAUAAUAUAUCAACCUUUUUUUUGUUUGAUGUUAGUUUUUUAAUUUAUAAUUUUUUGUUGGUUAUUUAUGCAAAUUUCCCUAGUUUUAUUUAAUCACCAUCUUAUUAUAUAAAGUACCAUUUUGAAAGUUACUAACUCACAUAAUGGUGUCACGUGUCAAGUCUAAUAAUCAGAUAUUUACAUAUGUCAUUAAAGAUUUACCUUUUUAUUCUCUUAUAAAAAUAAAAAAACCUAAAAAAGUAAACAAAUUUACAUAUACUAAUUUUUAUAUCUAUAUAUAUGUAUAUAAUAUUUUGAUUAACCAAUAGGAAAAUUAACAAAAAAAAAUUUUGGUAGGGUGAGGGGGACCAACCCUUCAUUUAUUAUAGAAAAAAAAAUAGAAAAUUACAUACGAACAUUAACAAAUUUGCUUUUACAUGUGAUAUUGGUCAAUUAAAUAAAUCUAGCAUGCAUUAACUAAUUAAAAAGACCAUCGAAAUAUUGAUUUUUCCCGCCUAAAAUAUUACAAAAAUAAAUUUCCCGCAAAAAACAUUUCAAAAAAAAAGUCCGCCCAAAGUUUUUUUCCAAAAAUAUUUUUCCUACAAAAACCUUUUUGGCGGGAAAAAGAUUUACAAUGGGUUUUAAAAGAUUUUUAAAGGCUUUACAAGAGUUUUAAAUGAUUUACAAGUGUUUUUGAAAGAUUUUUAUAUGGUUAACAAGGGUUUUAAAGGAUUUUAAAAAAGAUUUAAAACCCUUUAAAAACUUUUGUAAAUCUUUUUAAAAUAUUUUGUAAGGGUUCAAAAGAUUUUUAAAAUGGUUCAAAAUUAUGAAAGGGUUUACAAGGGUUUUUGAAAAGAUUUUUAAAUGGUUUACAAGGGUUUUAAAGGAUUUACAAGGUGUUUUAAAAGAUUUUUAAAAGAUUUACAAGGGUUUUAAAAUCCGUUAAAAACACUUGUAAAUCUUUUUAAACCCUUUUAUAAGGGUUCAUAAGAGUUUUAAAAUGGUUCAGAAAGAGUUACAAAUGUUUUAAAAUAAUUACAAAUUAUUUUAAAUCUUUAACAAAAUGAUUUAAAGACUUUAUAAGAGGUUUAAAAAGAUUUUAAAAAGAUUUACAAAGGUUUUAAAAAUCCUUGUAAAUUGUUUGAAAACCAUUGUAAAAGGUUUUAAAAUGAUUUAAAAAAGGGUUUAAAAGGGGUUUAAAAGUAUUAACAUAUGUAUUUAAAGACUUUAUAAAGAUUUUAAUAGGUUUAAAAAUGAUUCACAAGAGUUUUUUUAACAACUUUACAGAGCUUUUUAAAAACUUUACAAGGUUUUCUUAAGAGUUUUUAAAGGGUUCUUAAAAAUUUUACAAGGAUUUUUAAAUUCUUUUUUUUGUAGGGAAACAAUUUUGAGGAGAAUAUUUUUUUUGGCAAGGAAAAAGUUUACAAGGAUUUUUGACGAGAAUAUCUUUUUGGCGGGGAAAAUAAAUUUUGGUGCAAAACAUUUUUGGCGGAAAAAUUUCAGUUUCUAAUUAUAUGUUCUUACUAGAUUUUAACCCGCGGUGUACCGCGGGACUAUUUAUUUUAUUAAAAAUAACUAAAAAUAUAUUAUUUUAUAAAUUAUCUGUAUGUAACAUAUUGUUUGUAUUUUAUAAAUAUAUAAUCCUAAUUUCUAUAUAUUGUACAAUCCCUUGAUUUUAUCAUGGAGUACACCGUAAGUCGAUUUUUAAAAUUUAAAAUUUAAAAUUAUAUAUGAUUUUUGUUAAGAUUGUUUCUUUUGUCAUAUAUUUUAAAUUAUAUCAUUGUAUUUUAAUUGUUAGUUAUAGGAUUUCACCCGUUGUAUAACGUGUCGUAUUACUAUAAACUCAAACCCGUCUUACCAUCUAAUUCCGUUCAAUGAAAUUAAACAUAUUUAAUGGAUUUCAUCCUAGGUAUAUUGUCUCAUAUUACUAUCGACCCAAACCCGUCCUACCAACUAACCCCGUUCAAUAAAAUGAAAUAUUAUUUUAUUAUUUUUGUUUUAAUAAUACUUUAAUUUGAAAUAUAUAUAAUUCAAAUCAAUUUCAAACUUUUUAUUUUAAAUGGUUAUUUAAUUGUUAUAAUUUAUAAAGUUCAUAUAUUUUAAUAUUCUAAACUCGUCAUACCAUCUAAUCCCGUUCGGUGAAAUUAAACAUUAUUUUUUAAUUUUUUUGCUUAAAUAAUAUUUUUAUUAACAGAUUUAUAAUUCAAAUAAAUUUAAAAGGUGUCGUUCAAAUAGUUAUUUGAUUUUUUAUAGAUUUCACAUCUAAAAUAUUUCUCUAUAUGUAACAUAUAGUUUUGUAUUUUAGAAAUAUUAUAAACGUUUUUUCCUUAAAUAUUAUAAACGUUUUAAAAACUUUAAAUAAUUACAAUAUUUACCUUUUAAUAAAGUAUAAUAUUAAUAAUCAUUUAAAUAAUUAUGUGUAGCUAAUUUUAAGGGAUUUGAUUUAAAGCUUGUUGUUUGGAUUAAAUUUGAAUGAAUAAUGUGAUUGAUAUAUUAAAUCAAGAAUUAAAAAUCAAAUCAAAUAAUUAAGGAAAAAAGAAUUAAUGCCAAUGGCAUGCCAUUGUAAAUAAGUGUCAAGUAGAGGAUUUAUUUGCUAAAAUAUAAUUUUAGUUUUUUAAAAAUUAACUGAAAAUAUAUUAUAUUAAUUUGUAUUUUUAAAUAUAGAUAUCAAUCUCUGUAUUAUUUAGUAUAUGAUUACUAUUAUUUAGGUUUCAAUUUUUGAAGUAUAGAUACGAAAAUACAUAUUUUUUUAAGUAACGAUGUAUGGUGAAUUUUAAAUUUUUAAUAUUUUAUCCAUAAUAUACCGUGGGUCGAUUUUUUAUAGCUAAAUUUUUAAAUUUCAAGUUAUAAUCGUUUUGUUAAUAUUGUAUGAUUUUUUGUGUUUAAGGUUGUAUAAUUGUAUUUUAAUUGUAAAUUUUAAGAUUUCAUCAAUGAUAUACCUUUCUUUAUUAAUAUCGAUCAAAACCCGUCAUCCAAUAUAAACCCGUCUAUAUUAUCUCGUUAGCUAAAUAUUAGUAUUAUAAAAUCCAAGAAAAUAAAUUAUUAUUGUUAGAAAUACAAUAAUUUUAGGAUCUCACCCGUGUUAUACUGUUUUUGAAUGAUUUUAAAUUUCUACUACUAAUAUAGAUUUUAAAUUUGUCAUAUAAAGUAUAUGAUUUUAACUUUUUGUAUUUUUUUAUUUAAAUAAAGCAACGGCUUAAAUGAUGAUAGAUAUAGUUCUUUUUUUGUAUGUGUAUAUGAUUUUUAUGUGAAUAUUUUCAUUAUUAUAAAUUAGUAUUUUUAUUGUUAUGCAAAAUGUUAAUAUAAAUAUUUUCUAUAAAUCGGAUUUAUGCAUAUUUUAUGGAGUAAAAUUCACAGAAUUUUGUUUUUGAAGAUAUAUGGAAAGAUUGUGUAGAGAUUUUUAGAAAUAAAUUAGGCAAGAUAUCGUUUGGUUAAUAUCUUUUAAAAUUUUGUAAAACUAAAUAAUAAAUGCUAGUGACAGCCGUUGUAAAUAAGUCUGAACUCCAGGAUUUAUUUCACAAAAUGGUUGCAAAAAUGUAUAUGUAGAUUAGAUGAGGAUAAUUUGUUCAUUUUGUUCAAAAAAAAAAGGGAGAUUUGCAAAACUACCAUUUUUUACUACCCUUUUGCAACAAUACCCUUUUAUAUUGUUCAUUUUUAAAAAUAUCCCUUCUCUUGAACAGAAUGACCAAAUUACCCUCAUCUAAUAAGAACAUGUAAUUGGAAACUGAAAAUUUCCCGCCAAUAUUUAUUUUUCCCGCCAAAAAAAAAUUUCCGCCAAACUUUAUUUCCCGCCAAAAUUUUUUCUCGUAAAAUUUUUUUCCCAGCCAAAAUAAUGCUUUUAAAAAUCCUUAUAAAUUUUCUUAAAACUCUUUUAAAAAACCUUGUAAAGUUUUUUAAAAGCUUUGGUAGUUGCUAAAAACCCUUGUAAAUCAUUUUAAAACCUCUUAAAAUCUUUAUAAAGUCUUUAAAAACAUAGGUAAAUACUUUAAAACACCUUUUUAAACCUUUGUAAAUCAUUUCAAAAUUUCCACAAUAGUUUUACAAGAUUUACAAUCAUUUUUUAGCAUAAGUAAGUGGCAUUGAAUGAUUUACAAGGGAUUUUAAAAGCUUAUAAAAGGGUAAAACAUGAUUUACAAUCGUUUUUAAAGCAUAAGUAAGUGGCAUAUAAUGAUUUACAAGGAUUUUUAAAAAGGGUUAGCAUGGUUUACAAUAUUUUUUUAAGCAUAAGUAAGUGGCAUUGGAAUUAUUUACAAGGGAUUUUAAAAGCUUAUAAAAGGGUAAAACAUGAUUUACAAUCGUUUUUAAAGCAUAACUAAGUGGCAUAGAAUGAUUUACAAGGAAUUUUAAAAGUGUUUGUAUGGUUUACAAUCGUUUUAAAGCAUAAGUAAAUGGCAUUGAUUGAUUUACAAGAGAUUUUAAAAGGGGUUAACAUGAUUUACAAUCGUUUUAAAGCAUAAAUAAGUGUCAAAGAAUGAUUUACAAGGGAUUUUAAAAAAGGUUUGCAUGGUUUACAAUCGUUUUUAAAGGAUAAGUAAGUGUUAUAGAAUGAUUUACAAGGAUUUUAAAAGCUUAUAAAAGGGUAAAACAUAAUUUACAAGAGUUUUUUUAAAGAGUUUUAAAAGGAUUUACAAGGAUUUUAAACCUUUGUAAAUCCUUUUAAAACUCUUAUAAAGUCUUUACAAGUAUUUUUUAACUCUUAGAAAAAGAAUUGUAAGUAUUUAAAACAUUUACAACUCUUUUAAACCAUUUUAAAACUCUUGUGAAUCUUUACAAAAGGUUUUAAAAAGACUAGAUGAAUUCCUACGCUAUGCGAGGGUUUGUUUUGAAAAUUGUUUAGAUAAAAAUAUGUUAAUUAUUUUUGUUGCUAAUUUCUGUUUAUUUUUUGUUUGUUAUUUUAUAAUUAGUAAAAUUAGACUCAUCUUAUGUACUUGCAUUUUUUAUUGUUAGGUUCAUUUUUGACUCUAAAAUAUCAAUUUCUAUAUGUUUUCAUGUAUAAUCUGAUUAUUUUUAUAACCAAGAUUCUAAAAUUUGUUUAUUAUCAUGAAUAUACACAACAAGAAUAAAAGAUGUUUUUAUUUCAAGAGUUUUCAUAUGAAAAAAAAGAAGCAAAAAUUAAAGAGUUAUUUUAGUAACACUUUUUAGAUUUAUGCUAUUGCAUAUAGCCAUAUAAGACAAAUGGAUUUGUUUUGAAUUUCGUGGUAUGUCUAACGUCUCAAAAAUCUAUUACUUGAAAAUGUUUAAUGUCAAUGUUACGAACUUACCAUAAGAUACAAAAAUAAAAAGACAGAAUUUCAUAUGAUAAGAUAUGAACCAUAACGUAAUAAUAAUAAAAAAAUCAAGGUAAAAUAAUUAAACUAAUAUUAGGUAGCAAACAACUAAAGUACAACACAAAUAACUAUUUAGUCAUUAUAGAGUGAUGACCAUUGACCAUUAAGUUUUUUUAAAAAUAUGAAAUAAUAAAGUAAAAUAAAAGUAGUAAUUGAUUUAUUUAAAUAAAUAAUUUUAUAAAUUUUUUAUUUUGAAUAAAAUUAUUUAAGAAAUGAACUAAUGGAGGAUUUAACACAAUAUGAGACUUUUGAUUUUCUCUCAAUUAAUUUUGCUGAUUUUUAAUUUAAUCAAUGUUAAUUGACACAUGUCAUUUUCUUGUGUGAUGAUGUGUCACCCAUAUGGAGAAAGUUGGCCAACUUUCAUAUAUAUGAUUUACAAGAGUUUUUAAACGGUUUCUUAUAAUUUCUUUUAAAAUCUUUUAAAAACUCUUGUACAUCUUUUAAAACCCUUUAAAAAUCCCUUGUAAAUCUUUUAAAACACUUUUAAAUCCUUUAAAAAUCUUUAAAAAACUCUUGUAAGUCUUUUAAAGCCCUUUAAAAUCCCUUGUAAAUCUUUUAAAACCCUUUUAAAAUCCCUUGUAAAUCUUUUAAACCCUUUUAAAAUCUUUUGUAAAUCUUUUAAAACCCUUUUAAAAUCCCUUGUAAAUAUAUUUCCCGCCAAAAAACAAUUGUUUACGGGAAAAAUGUUUUCGAAAUUUUUUUUUGGCGGGAAAAUUUUGGCGGGAAAUUUUAUUUUGGAAUAUUUUAGGCAAAAAAUAUUAAUAUUUCAUUUUGUUAACCUAAAUCAAUUUACAAAUAGGAAUAAAAGGGUCAUUAAAAAUUUAAAUAGGGUAUAAAUGAAAAUGGUAAAUAGAAAAGGGUAGAAUUGAAAAGGGGUAGUGUGAAAAGGGCAUUAGAAAGAAUUUUUCAUUUUUAAUUAUACUUUCUUCUAAUUUUUAGUGAUCAUUUUAACCCUAUUUGAAAAUGUUUUAGGUUAACAAAAUGAAAUAUUGAUUUUUUCCACCAAAACGGCUUUUUGCCUAAAGAAACUUUCACGCCAAAAAAUUUCCCGCCAAAUUGGUUUUUUCAAAAACAAUUUUCCCCAUAUAACAAAAAAAAUGGCGGAAAAUAUAUUUUUAAAACCUUUGUAAUUCUUUUUAAAACUCUUGUAAAACUUUUUGAAACCUUUUGUAAGGGUUCACAAGAGUUUUAAAAUAUUUCAAAUUUUUUUACAAAUGUUUUAAAAUAUUAAAACAAAACUUUUUAAGAGUUGAAAAAUGAUUUAAUAAUAAGAAUUUUAAAAGGCCUUACAAAAGUUUCUAAAAUCCUUGUAAAUCGGUUUAAAACUAUUUGAAAACUUUUGUAAAUAAUUUUAAAACCUUUUACAAUGGUUUUAAAAGAAUUAUAAGUAUCUUUAAAUAUUUAUUAAGGUUUUGAAGUAUUUACAUGUGUAUUUAAAGACUUUAUAAAGAUUUUAAAAGAUUUCAAAAUGAUUUACAAGUGUUUUUAAGAACCGUACAAAGCUUUUAAAAAACUUUACAAGGAAUUUUAAGAGUUUUUAAAGGAUGUACAAGAGUUUUCAAAAAAUAUUUUGCGGGAAAAAAACAAUUUGGUGGGAAAACUAAAUUUUGGAGCCAAAACUUUAUUUGGCGAGUAAACUAAAUUUUGGCGGACAAAUUUCAGUUUCUUAUUAAAUAUUCUAAUUAAAUGGAGGGUAAUUUGGUUAUUUUGUUCAUGAAAAAGGAUAUUUUAAAAAAUAGACAAUGGUAAAGGGUAUUUUUGCAAAAGAGCAUUGGAAAAGAGUAUUUUUACAAAUCUUCCAAAUACAUUUGGGUAUAUUUGGUACCUACCUAUUUAUUAAAUUUUAUUCAUUAAAGCUUUGAUGGAUUUUGAAACCUCUUACAUUGGAUAGUUCCAUAUUUAACAAUAUAGACUAGGUCAGUACUCGUGUUUCGCAAGGGGUUCAUGAUUUAAUUAGUUUAUAAAUUUUGUUUCUGUAUAUAUUACUAAUAUAGUUUUAUUUUUAUUCAAAAUAGAUUUUUAGAUUAUCAAUUCCCAAAACACUAUCCUGUCGUUGUAGUAUUUUAGGUUGUCAAUCCAAUCUGCUGGUGUGAUGCAAACAGAUAAGAUAUUAUUAGAAUGCACUAAGUCAAACCAAGCAGAGAGUUUUUGGUUUCUAACAGUCCUCAUAUGAAAUAAAAGAACUGAAAUAAAACUGAAAUGCAAAAUGGCAGUAACAUGCAAAUGAAUGACAAAGCAGAUAAGAUAACAGGCAAUCAAAUGGAUAAGAGAUUCCUAAGGAUGGAGUAAUCGAAUAGCGUGGUCUCCUUAAUCUAUUUAGACGGUUGACAAAACUUCACAGAAGAUAUCUCUAGAAAACAAGUUCAAUGAAAGAUUAAUUCACUACCGUGUAAGAAAUCCUAAAGUGACGUUAUCUCCAUUAGCGAUCUCUAACUAAGCAGACAAUAUCGAAUCAACUUGUUAAAGCCAAUACCCGUUCUAAACGGCCAAUACCUUGGGAUAGAGACGAAUAUCACUGGAAUUAAUAGAUCCGACAUUCCAUCGAACGCCUUCUGAGCGCGGGAAUGUCUGGAUUCAUAUUCCAGUUGAUCAUAAAGGAACAAGCAAUAAGCGCAACUAAUCUAGAAGGGAUUCCAAUAUUCUAAACUCAACCAUCUAGACGACUAAGGUUACCACAACUACUCUAUCCCAUCCUCAGAAAUACAAUUCACUACUCAGACAUAAGCAAAGACAAUAUCAUAGAAACGAAUGAAAACAUGAUAAGGGAUCGAGAAAUGACAAAAGAUAAACGAAAUGAUACUAAGACUGAAAUAUUUAAUACUUGAAAGUGAAUACAAAAUCGCAGGAGAGCGUUGCGGCUACAAAAGUUUUAGAAAAAAGGAUCAUGCCCUAGGGAAAACCCCUAGAGGCUAUUUAUAAAAGCAAGACAAGUUAAGUAAGGAAAGUCUUUGAUAGUAGUCUUCACAUCGGGAGAUUGCGAUUGGGCAUAUGAUGGGCUGAAAUGGGACUCACUGCGAUGGAGUAUGUCAUGGAUCAAACUUGGCUUCAGGGACUCCACCUUGCAAUCGUGUGGUCUGGAGUGAAGACGAGAUAAAAUUGUCCAGCGACCCUGCGAUCGAGUAGAUGUCAUGAGGUGGUGAUCGAGUGGUUUCUUCAGCUUCUCUUCUCUUCCGUAUGCUCAGUGUUGGUGUCGGAUCCCGCACCAAAAGUCCGAAGUCGUCUCAGCCUGUAAUAAGCCCAAUCGCUGACUUAAUAAUGAUUUUACAAAUAUUUUUAAAAGGGGUUUAAAACGUUAAUAAUGAUUUUACAAGGAUUUUUAAAAGGAUUAGUACCUGAGCAGUAGGAAAAGAAUGAGAAACAAAAGGAUUUGAAGUCGUCUCAACCUAUAAUUAACACAAUCACUGACUUACUAAAUCUAUAUAUAAACCAUUUUUAAAAUUAUAACACAAGAAAGUUAUUGAAAAACCUACUCCACUGUCACAGAAAUUUGCUCUACUCUGUGAGAAUUUGUGCAUAAAAGUUGCAAGUUGUCUAUCGUUUCUAAUAUAAAGAGGAUGAGAUUGUAUUGUUCUAGAAGUGGAGACUUGCUUAUAACUAAGCUUCAAAGAAUUGGUUGAACUAUCUAUUCGAAAAUUCUCUACAAGAAUAUCAACCAAUGCGUGAUAGGUAAUGUGCUCAUCAAUGAGCACUAAAGAAGCUCCCAUUUCAAUGUCUAAUUCAAAUUCCCAAGUCAUAUUGUUUGUCAACUUCCACAAACCACAAACAGAAUACUAUUCUAUCAUUAUAACCUGAUAAGAUAAAUAACAACAAAAUCAAUACCCACAAACAUUGUCACUACAGAGAGAAGCAUGGUUUACAAUUAUUUUUAAAGCAUAAGUAAGUGGCAUAUAAUGAUUUACAAGGAAUUUUAAAAGCUUUGAAAAUGGGUUAACAUGAUUUACAAUCAUUUUUAAAGCAUAAGUAAGUGGCAUAGAAUGAUUUACAAGGAAUUUUAAAAGCUUUGAAAAGGGGUUAACAUGGUUUACAAUCGUUUUUAAAGCAUAAGUAAGUGGCAUAUAAUGAUUUACAAGGAAUUUUAAAAGCUUUGAAAAGUGGUUAACAUGGUUUACAAUCGUUUUAAAGCAUAAGUAAAUGGCAUAGACCUAUCACGAAAGCGUAAGUAAAGGGGUAAACACUAAAUCAAAACCAAAAUUUAUCACGGAACAAUAUAACGAAUUCAAAUCUAUCACAAAACAGUAUAACGAAUUCAAAAGGAAUUAACGAAUUCACAUAAUCAACCCCAAAAUCGAAAGCAAAAUAGUAGAAUUUACAAGGAUUUUAAAAACAAUUCAAUCAUUAAAUCUCAAACAAAAUUCAAAUUCGAAGCAUCAACAAAUGUCAAAUUGUCGAUUGAAUCAAUAUCACGAAUCACAUAAGCAACAACAAAAUCGAAAACGAGACAUUUAGGCUAAAAUUACAAAUUCGAAAUCGAUUCCAUGAGAGAAAAACAAACAUGGGGAAAACAAGAGAUUGAAAUGAAGACUGAGACGGUGAAAUCGAUAACACGAAUCCGACAAUCUCCGACGGCCACGACGCAAUGCGACAGCGACAAUUAAAACAAUCUCCGACGGCGAUGACAGACGAAGAAUACAUAUGACAUCAAUUGAAAUUAGAUCGAUUAGUCUCUGUAGUUCACUAAGGGUAUUUUGGGGAUAAAAUAAUUAGGUGGGGUAGAAAUAAAAAUGGCUAAAAAAUGGGUAAAGUUUAAAAGGAGCAUCAUGAAAAGGGCAUUAGAAAGAAUUUUACAUAAUUAUAUAAUAAAAUAUGUUUUCCUUAUAAAAAUGGUUUCUAUCACUAACUCUUUAACCAUCAACAACCUACUAUUUUAUUAAAUGACAUUGUUUUUUCCUUAGAUUCUUAUUGGAUAUCUCUUCUAAGUCGUUAAUAUUCAUUUUCUUUAUUUUUGAAUUAGUAUUUAUUUUGCAUUUUUCUCUAAACUACAAUAUGUUGUUGUAUGUUUGUCUUUGUUUGAGGUUAGUAUAUUUUUUACUCAUCGCUAUUUGCCAAUUUUCAUAAUUAUUUUGAAUCAAUGGUGGAGUAUUUAUUAAGAUAUUAGUUUGUUUAGUGACAAAGUAUGAGAUAAUAUAUUUUUUUACAAAUGUGAGUACUUACAAUUUGUUUUCUUAUAGGAUUAACAACUGAUUGUAUAAUUUUUUUAAUCCUUUUUCUAUUUUUCAUAUUUUUCUUGUUUAGUUAGUAACUUAUAAUUAAAACAUUUAGAUUAAUUUUCUAAAUUCUAUAGUUUUAGAAAAUAAACAUAUAAUUUUAUUAUAUAUAAGUAUAGUUUCCUUAUAAUAAUCUUUUUAUAUUCUUCAAACUGUUUAAAUUGUAUAAUUUUGUUGUAAUUAUUUUUUUAUAAUUUUUUAAUUGUUAAAUACAAAACUUUUGUUUGCGACAUAACAAAAAUCUCCUAUGAAAAUAUAGGUAUUAAAAUUGCAUUGAUAGAUUUGAAAUUUCGUGUUUUUUUUAGUUGAAAUUUAUCCUCUUAAUUAUAUGAUUUUAAUUUUUACUUAUUUUGAAAAUCUGUACUUUUCAUUUUUUAUGCAUAUAUCAAAAUAGAGAAGCAUUUCCAUAUGUACAUGUGUGAAAUCUCAUUAAUAAAUGGACAUAACUUUAUACUUUUAUUUUUUAUAAUAUUUUUUAUUUUUUAUAAUGCAUAGUUUCAUUAUAAUUAUCCUCUAUCUUUUAUAAUAUUGUUCUAAAAAAUUUAUUUUUUAUACAUGUCAAAAUCUAAGAUCUCUAAAAUUGACCCGUGUUAUAAUCUCCUGAGUUACUAUCAAAACCGUACUUUGUAUAAUAAGAUCCCUUUAGGUAGACAAAUAUUUGUACUUUUUUAUGUUAGUAUCCAACAUUAUAUUUUGUUGCCUAAACUGAACAUUAUUAAAUUGUUAAUUAUAAGAUUUCACCUAUAGUAUACCUUCCCGUAUUAAUAUCGAUCCAAACUCGUCCCACCAUAUAACUAUACAACACUGGUUAUUUAGAAUUUCGAUUGCCCUUUAAGGAUAACAAAAGAAAGAAACAACAAAUGUUGUUUUCAAAUAGAUAUUCCAAAACCUUGUCUAGAUUAAUUAAAAUGGUAUGAAUUUUUUAUUUAUUUAAUUACUUUUACAUAUUAAUUAUUCUACACAAUUUAUGAAAUACUAAUUGUUUUUUCUUUAGUAUGUGCAGGUUGACCCAUUAACGAUCCGAUCCAACGCUUCUUCACCUGAAAAUUUGCUUGGAUUCUCUUCGUUUAAAAACAAUACCAAAUAAACAAACUUUUGCCUGAUGAAAUCAAUGACCGAUCUUGGAUGCAAGUUUAAAGAGUCUUUCCUCAUCGUUCGUUCAGUUUCUUAAUCGCUUCUUUGUAUUUUCAAAUUCGAUUGAUAUUCUGUAAAUUCCCUCAUUUUGGUCAAUUGCUUUAAUGUAACUUCAAAUUUGAGUUUUUUCAUUCUCUUCAAACUCUGUUUUUAAUGGAUUUGAUAUGGUGAAGGAGAAUACACUAAACAUGGAUGGGAAGAAGAAGGAGAAGCCAGCAGCUCAGUUUCACUCAAUCGCAUAGCCGGAGGAAUCACCCACUCUAUAUCGUUCACGUGGCAAUCUUUGGUUGGUCCCGGACUUUCGGUGCGGGAUUCGACACCAACAAUUAGCCCUCCAAGUCUUUCGAAGUGUUAUCCUAAUUCGGAAGACUUUAAUGCUUUAAUGUACAAAGAUUGCGCUAGAUGAUUGUAUGAUUUCCCACCAAAAUCUUGUUACUCCCUUGAUUCCGGCACUGUCCAUAUUUACCCGUAUGACAUCUGUCACCAUUAUGACCACAUCUUAAUUAUUUACCAUUAAAGCGGGAAAAUCCUUCACCUUCCCCCACGACUCCCAAGGCGGUUCCAUCAUCAUCACCAGCUUGCGUGAGGUAAAUUUAUUUUAUAUCUUUCUUUUUUUUUACGCUUUUCUCUCUUAGAACAAAGAUCCUCUCUGUUUUACUCUACCAAUUUUUUCUUCGAACACCGGAUUUUUUUAUUCUCUACGAUGAAUCCUGAUACUGAAAGACCCGAAUCCCCAUCUUUCAACGAGUGUGGUUAUAGCAAUGAUAUAUGCACUCGCCCGAACGACAUCGCCGGUCCACACUAUAUGUCUACUUGUACCCUUCAAUGCCUUGAGCGACUGAAGGAGCUUUGCCGGAUUCCGCCGGAGAUUAUGACGGAAUCAAAGAUGCAUGGUCCCAUGGAGUCCCCGGAGGACCAUCGCUCCGGUUAUUUUUGCGUUUACGAGAUCUAUUUCAAGGGCUGCGGGUUGACCUUUCCUUUUCCUGAAGCCUUGGUCUGUUACUUGGAAACUCUUGGAAUUGCCCUGUCCCAACUAACCCCCAACCUUCUCUGAACUAUCUUGGGGAACAUAACUGUUACGGCGGAAGCCGGAUACGUUAUCGAGGUUCCUGAACUAAACAAGCUUCUUAGCGUGAGAAGUUCAUCGAAGAAAACUGGGUACUUUUCGGCGUACCCGAAUGCCAACAGGAACCUCAUCUCGCACCUCCCGAACAAGGAUGAGAACUGGCAUCAACCUUGGUUUUUGAUUAAGAAAACCCUUGCUUCAAUCGGAAAUCUUUCCGAUGUGCUUCCAUCGAAGUGGUCUACGAAACCCGGUAGAAAUUAGGUCGCAUAUACCUUCUCUGUUUACCUUUACUGUUUAUUGACCAAAUCUGUUGUUUCACUUCGCAGCUUUCAUCGCUCGGACUCUCUCGACCGAGGAAUUCAUCGAACUCUUCAAAAUCGUCUUCGAAGGGGAAACCCUCUGGAAUUCCUUCACCCGUGACCGGUUUAUAGAGGCCAAUCACAAACUCAGAAUGAGCCCUCCCGGACAGCUUCAUCAACUUCCGCCACCUCCUUCCCUAUCUCAAGGAACAUUAGCCCGUGAUCUUGCUUCUCGGUGGAAGGUGAUAUCAAAGCCGAUGGCUGAGGCUUGCGAGGUAAACAAGACGUUCCUUGCUAGUUGACAAUGGUAGCGCCGAAGGGGCCAGAUCGGCCGAUGCGUUUAGGUCAACACUCCGUCCUGAACGCCAUGGUGGUCGUUCUCCUCGGAGAAAAAGAUAUCCCCGUCGUGACUCUCCUCGCUCUUCUCCCCGAGGUGGACUGAGCAGCGAACCCAUUGGUAAUUUAGUUUGCAAAAAGAGAGACAGACCGGCUCGUGGCAGCUCUUCUCCCCGAAGGGACAAAUCAAAGGCCCGGACUUUUGACAGAUAGCGUCCCGGAAUUUGAGAACGCUUCUUACUCCAUGCUUACUAUUCAUCGCGGGGUAGUUUCAUUUCCCUUUUUCUAAUCUUGCUAUUCCUUUACGUACUAACUUACUUUCUCGGGCUUAUACUCAGUGCCAGGCAAACAGCAAACUUAACGACAUGGUUGAGCACUAUGAAGGAUUGCUGCUUAGUAGGGAGCAAGACAUCGACACUUGGAAGGGCAAGUUUUCUUCCCUCGAGGCUGACCUCCGUCCCUCUCCGGUUCCAAGCAAAAAUUGGAGGACCAAGUCGACCAUCUCUCUUCUGAACUCAUGGAAUCAAACGGCGAGUUGCAAGAUCAGUACCGUAGACAUGACAAACUCCAAGAUGAACUCUCAGUUGCCCAAGAUAGGCUUUCUGAAUCUGAAUCGGUUGCUUACACCUUGAACAACCAGUUCACCGAACUUAAGGCAAAGUACAAGGCAAUCGCCAAGCUUCGAGAUGCUGAGUUAGCUAAGUCGGCGUUAAAAGCCAGAAAAGAAGUGAAAGGUCGCAGGAUAGAGCUGAUUCAGGGGGCCAUUCUUUUCAUUCAAACCGAAAAGGCAAGAUCAGAGCUGGAAUCUAAUAUUAAGGAGCACGAAAGCAACCUACUCUUGUUGGACCAGGUCCACGAGGAGGAUUUCAGCGAGGAGUAAGAGAGGUCCGAUUUGACAGCCGUUUUAUCCGAGAAACAUAGCCGCCUUCUUGCUCUCCCCGCUUCAUCCUUCAACCCUCAGCACUUCAAAGAGUUCUUCAUCGAAUCACCCCCUUUGGGUGAAUCGGGUUUAGAUUGGGCUGGUAAACUUUCAUACUUAAAGUUUUAUCACUUACAGUUUUUUUAUAUAUACUCUUUACUGAUUUGAACUGUUCUCCUCAGGUUCAAGUGAAUCGGAUGAUACUGCUGCACCUAAGGUGCCUGCCAUACUGGUAGAGAUUGUUGAACCUGACCCUAUUUUGCCCAAAGCUCCUCCGUUGUGAACAGCGAGACGGAGAUCAUCCCGGAUGAUGAGUGUGAUGCUAGGCACGAGCCGGGAACCUCUUUCGAGACACUCCCUGGCGUUGAACCGAAUGAAACCGAGACGACUGAUGUCGAGCCCGAGAUAGCUACGGAUUAAUAGUGGUUGCGUCCACUUGAAAUUGGAGGUUGUCCCAAAUAUUUAAGAACUUGAAAUUAAUUAUUGGAUAAGUAUUUACCUAAGGAGGCUUUUAAACUUUUUUUAAACUAUGAUCCCAAGAGGGUUUGACUAAAGUAGAAUGCGGGUUUGCAAAGUCCGCCUUUAAAUAUUUUGACCAUGUGGUUAAGUUUCGAGAUUCUAAGGUUGAUCAGACCUUUCUAAUAGAACGCGAGAAAUGAGCUCAUCUUAACGCGAAUUUCCCAUCUCGGGUUGAGUUAAUUCAUUACAUUUAUUGGGCUUGGGCCUUAACUGUUAUACCUUGUAUUUAAUGGGCUCUUUGUCUUAAAUGCGACGGUUGCCAUUUCCCAUCCUAUUUCUCGAGAAACCGGAAAAAACCUCACGCCUUUGAGGCAAUAAUUGCCUUUUAUCGAUUUCCAAAUAUGGCUUAAACCAUUCGGACACGCCAUCAUUAUUGAAUUUUUGGUUUCAAGACAAGAUCUAAACCUCUAUAAAUAAAAGUUUAUCUAUCACCGAAUUUCCCCCAAGUAUGAUUUUAGAAAUUUACUUGAUAAACACCACGAGAAUGGAAAACGAAGGAGCCUCCACUGUCUGUCCUCUCGACCCUGGCAGUCCAUUGUUUCUGUCCGGCGAUGAUUUCGAACCUGCCGGCGUUCUCUUUCCACACACCGCUUUCCACUUUCCUCCGAAAGAUAAAAAGGAGGCGUACGACUAUAUGGACAAGGUCGGGAUUCAUUCUUCUUCCCUCUAUUACGAUUCUUCAUCUUUUUUUUAUAUAUUUACCGGUUUCCAUGUUAGGUUGUCGACAAACAUCGCCGCUUGUGCGAUGAGAGGCAACGUCUGGGCCUCAAAAGGCAAACGCUCGAGGCCCGAAUCGCUCGAGUGGAGAGGAAGGUGAGGGAAAUGGAGAGUGAUCCCUUUCAAUGGGAGUUGAGGAACUUCGACUGCGUUGCCAAGAUCCCGACUAUGCUUUGGAUGUACCUCCGCGCUCGUGGUCAAGUUCUCGGUCUCGUGAAUGCUCAUGUUGAGGUGGUCCCAUCCGAUAGCGAGGAGGACGACGAAGAAGAGGACAUCGACCCCUCGAAUUGUGUCAAGAAUGAACCCAAGGUAGACGACAAAAAUGAAGCGUCCACUUCGAAUGCUGAAUCGGCGAUGAAGGAGCAUGUUCCUAAACCUCUUCCAUAAAUGUCCCCGAACUUGCUACUUACUUUUUUUUAUUUUUUUUUUAACUCGUUAUGGGCUCCGGCUCAUUUUUAAUUUAUGGAAACUUUUUUAUUUCCUUGAUCUCAAAAUACUCGUUUUGGAGAUAUGUUUUAAAUGCAGGGCCAACUGGAAGGCGUAGGUCUUUCCGCGAAUCACUCCGGCCUCAAAUAGAAUUGCAAUCUUCAAAGGUGCCAAGUCCCUAUAAAUUGCGACUCCAAGUUUUCUUUAUUUUUUAUUACAACUUUCUUUUCCUUUUGCAGCUAUGGAGUUUAACCUUCGAUGUUCGGAGUCCAUGCCAGACUUUUCUAGGGUCGGAAUGAUGGAUGAGGACAUCCCAAACGUGCGGGGAAGAGGGCCUUCUCAACCUCGUGGCUUCUUAAGGUCCCAAAUCCGAGCUCCAUGUGCAUUGAUGAAGGGACUUUCUGACAUAGACCAAGAAAUCACGAUGGCAUUCAUCAAGGCUCUUGCGGUUCAGCACCAGAAGCGUUCGUUGGAAAGGAGGAAAAUCCGAAAAAAGAUUAACCGAAUAUUACGUAGGGUUAUUGCGAUAUCGAGGGAACUUCACACCCUCAACUCUCACCCCGGGGACUGGAUUGAGCUUGGAAUUUCCGAAUUUGAUCGCAUACCGGAUUGUAUGAUGCCGAUUCUUGAACUCGCUGGUCAAGGAGUCCAACUGUUCUACAAGUCGAGAAGAGUUUCUUAAUUUGAAGUGCUAGCGUGACGAAACUUCGUCUUCUUUGCUUACUGCUUGAAUACUUUCGUUUUGUUUCCUGUAUUUGCAUGUUCGCGUAGUCGAACUUUUCUUGCUUUGUUCGUUCGCACAGUCUGAACUCGUUCCCAAGCUGCGUACGUACCUAUUUCAAGAUCAAGCGACACCGUAGUUCAUGUACAUAACAAAAAACGCGUGUUUACUUAAACAUAAAACUUCUUUAAAAUGACCACAUUCCAAAGACCCUAGACAGGCAUGUCUUCUUAAUCUUUUAACCUAUAAACACCAUUCUGAUCCACUUCGGUAAUAAUAUAAGGUCCUUCCCAAUUAAUAUCGAGCUUGCUUGCUCAUUCUUCCUUUUUAUUGUUGAAAACGCGCUUUAGAACGUAAUCACGUACAAAGAAAGGUCUGAUUUUGAUUUUGGAAUUGUAAUAUCGAGCUGCUGCCUGCUGGUAAUUCUGAAUCCGGAUCAAAGCUUGGUCUCGCCUUUCGUUGAUAGUAUCUAACGAAUCAUCGAGCAUUGCUGAGUUUUCUUCUUCGGUUAGGGGAGCCUCUGUUCAGCAAAGUCCAUACACGUUGAGCUCGGCCGGGACCACUGUUUCCAUCCCAUAAACUAAAAAAAACGGAUUUUCCCCAGUAGACCGCCUAGGAGUUGUGCGGUAAGCCCAUAAAACCUGUUGAAGCUCGUCGUACCAACCUCCCUUCAAAUGAUUCAGGCACUUUUUUAGAUUGGUUAGG
rnacentral:lncRNA from 1 species